GGUGUUGUUGCUGCAGUGUGGUGGGCAAUUCUUGGUGGGGUUUAUGUUUCGGUGAUGUUCAUCGUGAGAUUGCUUUUGUUAUAUAGUUACAUAGGUUCGGUUGUUGUGCGUUGUAGUAGUUGUUUUUUUUUUCUGUAUUUCAUCUUCUCUAUUAAUAUAAAGACCUGUAGUAAACCUGUUGGCAGCCGCUACAAAAGAUAUAUACGGUUAUUAGUUCUCGUUCAAUCCAUGUCUAGAAUUUGAAUUCAAAUGGAUGCACAUGAACGGCUCACAAAUACUCAAUCCAUGUUCAUGAAUUAAGCUUCAUAAAUUACCCCGGCAUGUGUGGGGAGUGAAAAGCAAAACUUGGGUAGCUAAUUAAGUGAUCUGCACGUAAGCAAAUCCCGAUCGAGAUGGAAACAAAUGUUGAAGAAAGGCUGUGGCCAUGGAGGGUGGUUGCGAUUUGCGAUGCCAUGGAGAGCGAUGGACUGGGUGGGUGACUGGGUGUGCGGCCGACGAUACAGGCCCAAUGGCAAACGGUGCACAGAUUCUCGUGGAUCAUGUUGCCCACCGAGGAAAGCGACUGUUGGAGCCUUGUGUGGACCUGGGGGAUCGGAAUUGAAAUGAAAUACUUGUAUUUUCUGCGAUGUAGAUGCUGACGGGGGUUUAGCAUAAUGGUGGCUGUUGAUAUUUCUGCGGACUGGAGGAGCAAGCGGCAUAGGGAGAUAGAAAGUGUGUGGCCAUGGAGAGCGAUUGCAAGCGAUGGAGCAUCUCGUCGGAACUCGGAACAUUCUGUGGCAUGUGUGUGGGCUUGGGAUACUUCUAGUAGUUCUCUCUUCCUGCAGGAUAAUGGAUGCUGACAUUAAGGGUUCAGGAAAUCAAUGCUCAAAUUUAAUCUCUCCUCUGCAAGUCAUUUUUGACAUUUGCAUGCUCAAUGAAAUAUUUUGUGUGUAAUAAGACUAUUUUUAGCGCCACAUUCUUCUAAUACUUUCUGGUAGGCCAUUACUCGUAUUCACGUUUCUGUGUAAGUUGGCUGAAGCUUUUUCUCUAUUGUUUCUUCCAUACGGGCGUUGAUGGGCCAGGCCUUUUUAUAUAUAGAAAAACUCUCCAGUUUCAAAUAUUUAAUCAACCUGUUCGGUUAAAACAUUCGCACAGCUUCCGAUAGACACAUUUUUAACCGCUGAUUUUUUUUAUAAACCUUUUAGAGACUGAGCAGGUGAAUCUUGGAUCGACGACGCUAAGCAUCGGCUAUGAUUAAACGAUAUAACCAUAUCAUUAAGAAACACAUGACCUUAAAAGUUAAAGCUUGAUCUUUAGUGAGGAGGAACUACGUACAAACCUUUGCUAACUAUCCAAGUCUCCAUUUUAGAUCUCAAUCUACAUAAGCAUCCAUUAAAAAAACUUAAUCGGGUUGUAUAGAGGAAAAAAUAACAACGCAAACAAAAGUUGCUGAAAAUUCCAAAGGCGUCACAUUGAAAUCAUGGACCAAAAUAAAGCCAUCAUUUGGAAUAUCAAUCUGGACAGGAAAUAGUCCUCAUUCCUCAAAUCAUACAAAACCAGUCUCUUGGGGAAAAUAGAAGGAAAGAAUUCUUGAAGCAUCAUACGGCAAACAAAAAAGGCGGCACAAACUAAGCUCUAGCUUAGAAGUUAGACCUGAUCAUUGGUCCGGUCAGGUCAAGUUUGGAUCGGACCAAAAAAAAUACCCACUUGGUUUUUCCUUUGGCCCACACCCGACCCGACCACGGGGUCCUUUUUUUUUUUCCGAGCCCUGACCCAACACAAGGUCAGGUUGGGCUACACCCGAUUUUUUGUGCACACUUUUCGGAUUGGAUCGUUUUUUUUUUUGUUUCGGCUCAAAAAAUUGGCCCAUUCCCAACCUGGUUGUUUAUGGCGGGCCGCAAAUCUCAGCCCCGUCCACACAACACAUUGAUAUGGUUAGAUUGGGUCGGUUGGGUAUUUUUUGGACGGAUCGGGUUCGUCAGGUCGGGCGGCCCAUGAUUAGGUCUAAGUACUCCAUAUCUAUUACUUGACUCAGCAGAUGCAGCCAGCCGUCAGGCAACAAUAAUCUCAGGCGUUGGAUUUUGGCAGCACGAGGGCAACAAUGUGAAGAAGGUAUGCAUAUAGAUCAGCCGCCUCGCGGAUUAACUAUUCAGUUCAAGGUUGUAAUAUAAUUCGGUUGGAUCGAAUGCAGCUCCAAUCAAAUUAAAGUACCGGAUCAGGCAUCAGACGAGACCGUCGAGCGGGUCGUAAACAAAUGGAUUGAUUGGCCAAAAAAUAAUUGAUGAGAUAAAAAUGUAUAGAUAAAAAAGAAUUGACGAGCAGUAACUUCGAAUUUGAUUUGGCACUUCCUGGUUCCAAUUUGAUUUGUUGAGCAUCUCUAACUACAUUUGAGCAUGAAUUUCAUCUUUUUCAUCAUUAUGCUUUUUAAUAAUAUUUAAAUGUAAUAAAGCAUAACACUCCACAAAAUGCACUUAUGAAAUGUGGAUGCUCAUGAUAUGCAGGUGAUUAAGGUUAAUUACAAAAUUUAAAUAUCCGAGGUGUUACAAUCUCUCUCGUCCUCAAAGAAAUCCUGAUGACGACAGCACGCAGGUCGUAUCCCUCAGCACCGGUGGUUGAGCCAAAGCCUGGGUUACCGCGGCAGUCGUUCUCAUCAAGGAAGAGAGUACUUUGCGAGCACUGACGACAUUGACAGGGGUGGCAGCGUGGGUAGGAGCGGUGGAGAGAAGAAGAUGAAGAUAGGCCGGUGAAUUUCCAAUUUUACAUUAUCCAUAUCAAAAAAUGAAUUGGUCUUUGUCUACAUCCAAACAAUCACUUUGCUGUUGAAUCCAUUUCAAUAUUUAGGCUGAUUUGGUAUUAAACCCAAUUCAAUGCUAAGGACUCCAACAUCUACAUCCAAACAGACCAUUAAGGAAUUUUGUAUAUUCCACGUUUGAGGCCACGUCAUCAUCUUCUAUUCCAAGUCAUCAUUUUGUAUAUCAGUUUAUAUGCACGGCAACCAUCCUAGGCAAGUAGGUAAGCAAUUUUUUUUUUGUUGGGUCACGUCAUGAUCGUACGACGAAGCUUGCGUGUAUGAAAACUUUACUACUCCUGGCCGUUGACUCUCUCCGGACAGAUUGAAGAUGACGAUCCUGCAGAACUAUAAUAAAAUAAACACAGCAAGUCAGCAACCAACCCACACGUAUGCAACGAAGCAAGUAGGACCUUCGUUCCUCGCGAGCGUAACGAGAUCGAGAGAAGUAGCAGAAAGCAGGCAGCCAUACGCAAUUCUUAAAACAUGUGAUGAAUUAUUUUACCAUGCUACUGAGGCAUAACAUGUAUACUGUCAGCAUGGACUACCGAGGCAUGCAUGAAUCGAUAUGCUCGCGUGCGUAAUUGCAAGUUUUCAACCGUGUUGAUUUCACACUGCAUCGCUUCAGUUGAGUUCUCACUAGUUCACCCUGACGUUAAGAGAGUCAUCUGUCAGUCAGUCAGUCAGCUAGCUGAGUCACUAGUUCACAGCGUUGGCAGCGCUGCACCCAGCGUGUGCGUGCACACCGAAACAUCGCUCGCCGGAAAAAAAAAUCGCGCCCCGGGCGGACGUGUGCAUGUACGUGUGCCCCGGCCCCGCGUGUCCUUCCGGUUCCAAGGAUGCAUGGUUGCCGUGCCGAUGCAGCAUCGAGGAAGAUGACGAGCGGAGGCGUCCGAGCCAUGCAGCUUCCCGCGCGAGCGCUCCACCACCCACCAUCCUCAAAAGCUGACCGUUGCCGCUUUCUCUCUCUCUCACACACAGUCUCACUGUCACUGACUCCCCUCCUACAGUCCUAAUUGGAUCCUUGGCUUGCUGCGACCGGACUCACGACGACGACCAGUCAAACCACCCCCAGCUCGUCUCAACUUGGCUGUGGUUGGAGGCUACCGCGCGCUCAGUCAGUACACCGCAUGUGUACGACCGCAGCUAGGACCGAGCCCUGGCUUCUCGCUCUCACUGACACGCCGGCCCCACUGGCGGCCGACGUGUCACUUCGCGACAACUUGCACGGGCCUACCUGCACGUCCCAUCCGACCCUAUAAUAAAUAGAGCCCAAAAGGCAAGGCUCUCUUCUCACAAGCACACACCACCACCACGCGGAGCUUUGCUUACUCAGCCUAGCUAAGACUAAUCCUAAUGCAGGUUUCAUAGAGGUUUCAUGCACAUUAAUUAGGGUGUCAUAUCAGCAUUUUUGAUGAUGUGGCAGUGAGUUAACGAGGAGAGAGGUAAGAGGAGUUUCAUCUAGAUGAAACCAUGUAUGCACAGUUACCAACACAGUUUGUGUCUUGCAUGUACUGCAUAUGAAACUACACCAUGAAAUUUUGCAUUGUAGAGGUAGUUUCAAACACAAUUUCAUUUUCAUGUUGCUUAUGUAGCUAUCUUAGAAACAUCAAAAUGAAACUCUCCAUUGGGAUUAGCCUAAGCAGCUAGCCAUCAGCUCCCUCCUUGGCUUCUUCAAUUCACGGCAGCCAUCAGCUCCCUUCUUGGUUUCUUCAAUUCACGGCAGCCAAGGCCCGGCCGGUGCAGCGCACUACCACGACAGACUCGGCGGGCACGCACGAGCACGAGCAUGUCGAGUAGCCGAGGAAGAAAAAGCAUGGACAGGCAGCACGUCGGCGUCAAGGUCACCUACAUCGAGACGUAGUUCGUCACCUCCGACGCCGCCGGCUUCAAGGACCUCGUGCAGCGCCUCACCGGGAGGUCCCCCACCGCCGCCUCCGCGCCGGCUCCGGCGGCGCCGCACAGGCCGCGCGCGUGCCGCGCAGGGGAGGGCAGGACGGGCGCUGCAGCCGGAGCUGGGCCGCAGGGCUGCCACUAUUACCAGCAGCCGGCCGGUGGGGUGCGGCCGGCCGCCGUCGUCGCUAGCUGCGCCCCGCCGUGCCAGGAGAAGCUGCUGCUCAGCAUGGACGACGACUUCUCGGACCUGUUCUACGCCGGUGCCAUCGAUCAGCGGCGUCAUGGCCUCAAUGGUGGUUACACCGAUUUUCCACUAUUGAUCGAGACUUACGGCCAUGGUCAGAACUCAGAAGAUUGGCUUUGUCAGAAGAACUAUGAUGUACAAACCAGUUUAUGUGGAGCCAUUCAGUUCAUUUAUUCAUUCUUAGUAUAUAGUGUGUACAUAUGUACUCUGGUUCCCUUGUUUAGAGUACAAUAUUCCUUUGCAAAUCAAAGUUUGGAAGCAAAAGACAGUGUUAGCUCCGAAGAGCUAAAAUUCAGAGUUUAAGCCUUGUGGUCAUUAUGGUGCAUAUAAGAUCAAUUUUGUACUAUAUUUGUGAUGCUAACCAUUACACUAUUUAAACUAUCGGGGGAUACUCAUAAGAAUUAUACUAAGUAGAUAUGGAAGGAUUGGUGUGAGGUUGAGUUGGCUAGUAGGUGGAGUAUAAUGCAACACACUAUGAGAUCUUGAGUUUGAAAACCCUUCACUCUAAAAUUAUAUUAUUUUUGCAAUAUACUUCUAGUCAUCUAGAUGAUAGAGACAUAAUAUUGUGCCAUUACAAGUUGUCUUGCAAAAUAUAGAGACACUUGUAAAAAUAUCUCUUCAUUCAAAGAGACAUGUGGCAUCUCUAUGACAUAUUGGAAAACGACUCUAUGACUCUCUAGGGACAACAUAACAUGUCUCUACAGGAUAAAAAUAGUGUCUCUACAUGUAAAACUGUUUUGUAGUGAUACAUUGAUAGUAUAUUUAUUUGAUAUAUUGUAUAUGUUAUGAUCAAAGUUAUACAAAUUCAACUCAAGAAAAAACUAAAAUGACCGAAACACACACAACAGGCAGUGCUUCACUUUUGCCAUUUGGCAUUUCCGUAUUUGGUGUUGUAAUACAGCUUUCCUUGGCUUCCCUCGGAGCAAUAGUUUCUGUUAGCAAUGGCAGUUCGGCCAUACCGGCCAUUCUUCACUGAUUCCAUCAUACAACUGCUAAUGCUAGUCUCAUGGCAAGAAGAAACGGAAACAUACUGUUUAUGGUGCCGCAAACAUCUGUUUUCAACCUCUGUUUCUAAAUAUUUGGUAGUUUUGAUCAAAACACGAUUACUAAGGAACACACAUUUUAAGGAUAAAACAAAGCAGUCAAACUGACAAGUAUUUGAAAAUAGAGGCUAAUAUAAAUGGUGUGUGAUGAUCAAUAAACUCUGUGCUUGUCAUUUUAUUUCCUUUGGCUGAAUUGUCGAGAAUGUGUAUGGUACACAUCACUACAAAAUAUAUUAUCUUUACUAGUUUUUAAUGAGUGUCCAACAAUUUUAAUGGUUGGUACUAUUUUUUUCUAGUGUAUGAUGCAUCUUUCCUAAUAAUUUUAUCAAAUGGCCAACAAUGUAUACCUGACACACUUAUUUUUUAUUCAUAAUUAUGAUAGGGUUUUAUCCAAAUAUAAUAUAAUAGAAACCAUUAGCAAGUGUAAGCGAGCAUUUCAGAAGGAACUUGAGCUACAUUUCUUUUCAAUUUCCAUUCAUGAGUUUCUGUAUGUUCCUCUAAAAAAGAAAAACGGUAAUGCUUAGAUUUUGACGUCCAGCAGGAUUAAAAAUAUCGGAUGCUAGUCCACGGUCCUUACCUUUACUCCGAGCGAAGCGAUAGCGGCUUCUUUCCUCAUUCUUAUCCACCCGUUCCUCAUCCUCGUAUCCUCCACCUCAAGUCUCCAUUAACAGCACUGCCCGCACCACCGCUUCCUCAAGCUCCCCUCAUCUCAGCAGCCACACAUAUGGUGCGGCGCCGCCAUCAUGCGGCACCUUGCCGGUGCGUUCCCCGCUCCUCUGCCCUCGCCGCGUGCAGCCACGCUGCUGGAUUCCUCCCCAUCUUCAGCUACACGUCACCAGAUUCGAUCAAGCCCGCGCUAGCAUUCCCACCUGCGUUCCUCGACGAGCGGUCGGGUGAUUUCUCGUGGAGGAGCCCUGCAAGGUGAGCGUCAGCGACGCGGGAGGUUGUGCCUGAUAAGUAGCAACAUGGGCUGCCAAGCUGCUUGAGAUGGGCUGUGCGACGAGAGGUAAUCGAAGGAGCAAGACGGUGACAACGGCCUGACUUGGUAGAUAUAAUGUUGCAAUAAUUAAUUUUCGGUAUUGCUUUAUAUCAUUUUUCAUGUGGCGAUAGGUGAUUUUGAAUGUUGUAGAAAAAUUAAUCAAGAUAUGGUUACAAAGUUGUUUGCUAAUGUUGCAACAAAGGAUACUUUUGUUAUGUUAGUAUUUUCUCGAUGUUGCAUAAGGUGUUCUUAGAGUUUGAAAUGUAUGCAUAUUGUGAUGUUGUUGGCUUUUUGAUGCUUCCUCUAUUGAUUCUUUAUGUUGCAGUGUUUUGUUUGUAGUGUGUCACUUAUAUAUGUUUAAACUUAAUCAAUCCUACCAUGAUUUGCAUAAAAUUGUUGCAAGAAACAACCAAUGAUGUUAUGGUGGGAAUUUUCAUCUAGAAAUAUAUAGAUAUAUUUUCUCAUAUGUCUCGAUAUUGCAAACAUGGAUUUUCGAUGUUGCAAGUGUUUUAUUUUGAUGUUGCAACGAAUCGUGUGAUAGGAAAACUUCCCAUCCGACGUCCGAACGCUAGCAGCGUCGAAAGAAAAAAAAAGAAUGCAAAAGUUUUUAGAAAUCCUUAUCUGAGGAAAAAUUAGUACUUUUAUGGUGUACUGGUACGCACCAUUUUUAUUGGACCGAAAAUACGGUCUCACAUUCUGCUAUAUAUAGGGCUCGUUUGGUAGGGUUGCGGCUGUGGCUGAAACGGCUGCGGCUGUAGCUUCUUCGAUGAAACAGCUUUUUUGAGCUUCAGCUUGUCUGGAUGGAAACACGUUUGGCAAAACGGCUUCUCCUACAUGCGUAACAUGGAUAAAAAAUAUAAAAUGUCCAUAAUACCCUUCCUUUUUUUCUUUCCUUUUUCUUUUUUCUCCCUUCCUUUUUUUUGUCUUUCCUUCAUUUAUUUAACUUUCUUUCCUCACGCAACGCCAGCCGCAGCCCAGUGCCUUAUCCACUCGCUUCCAUCCGCUUGAGAGCCAGCCUUAUCCACUCGCCCCUGCUUUUCUCUGCUCUACCGUCGCCCUAGCGCCUCCGCUCCACCGCCAGCACCUAGCGCCGCCGUCCGCUGCCCCACGACGCCAGCUCCCAGCACCACCAGCCUGCCGGCCCUAGCGCCGCCUCACUCCGCCUCGCACCCUACGGCCCCAGCGUCGCCGUACUCCGCCUCGCGCCCUACGGCCCCAGCGCCGCCAUCGACCGCCCAACGUCACCGUCUGCCGGCCCCAGCGUUGCCUCCCUUCGCCGCGAGUCAUGGUGGGCAAGAAGGUCAGUUGCCCUGCGGCCGAGGGUAAAGCCGCGGGGAGCUAAUUUUUUUGACUUCUCCUCCACCAAAGGGCUCCAGAGAGCGGAUUUCCCAGAGCUCCUAGACGGGAGCCGUUUUGUUCGUGCCCCUUUAGUAGAGCUUCGGCUUCUGAUGAUGGAGAAGCCGCAGCCAAAGCCCAACCAAAGUAACCCACAGUUUCCGAUGAGGCGUUUUCCCCGUUUCUCCACCAUCGUCUCCGAGGAUCUUCGUUAUCGUGCUUUCAUCGGUCGUACGAUACGCAUACCGCGCCGCACGAGCGCUUGACCGUCUCCCUAUCCAGUCCCCAAAAGUUGACCGUUGCCACUGACCCCCUCUCCCUCCCCAUCCUUACCUGCAGGCUGCAGGCAGGCUGCGAAAGGCCCGGCGACCGGUCAAACCAGCACCUCAACUUGCUUCCUGUAGCGCUCAGUGCGCCGCAUCGGCGCGACCGCAUGACCAAACCCCCACCCUCUCCCCGUCUCACCGCCAUGCGGGUCCCACUACCUUUUAGCCCCACGUGCCACUGUCCAGAUACUAUCGGCGCCGGCAACUUGCAAACCUACCAGAGAUUAGGUCUUCGCUCAGCCACAUCCUAUAAAUACAGCCCAAAAAAAGAAGCUUUUCAUCCACUACCACCACCCCAGCUCAGCCAAGCUUCUUCCACGCGAGCCAAGUCUGCGAGGCGAAGCCCACGGUGCGGCGCGCUGCCACGACAGCUGCAGAGUAGAGAGACGUCGAGCGAGCAGUGAAGAGAAGAGGAAGCGAAGCAUGGACGGCGUCAAGGUCACCUACAUCGAGACGCGGUUCGUCACCUCCGACGCCGCCGGCUUCAAGGACCUCGUGCAGCGCCUCACCGGGAGGUCCCCCACCGCCGCCGGGGCUGCGGCGGCGCCGCACAGGCCGGGCGCGUGCCGCGCCACCACCACCGACUGCGGGAGGAGCGCGACCGGCACGCAGGGAUGCUACUACCACGCGUCCGCGUCGUCGUCGUCACCGGCGGCGAACGAGGCGCGCGUCGGUGGCGGCCGCCUCGCGCCGCCGUUCCUGGACGAGACGUACGGCGUCGGAGACUUCGCCGGCCUGCUCUAUGGCAGCGCCAGCCAAAACGCACAGUGGGGGUGUUGAAGACAAAUCAGCCUGAGUGCUGGGGGCGUUUAGUUUCUCGUGUCACAUUGAAUGUAAUUCGGAGGUUAAUUAGGAGAACUAAAUAUGAGUUAAUUAUAAAACUAAUUGCACUGAUGGAGGCUAAACGGCGAGAUGAAUCUAUUAAGCCUAAUUAAUUCAUCAUUAGCAAAUGAUUACUGUAGCAGCACAUUGUCAAAUCAUGGACUAAUUAGGCUUAAUAGAUUCGUCUCGCCGUUUAGCCUCCAUCCGUGUAAUGAGCUUUGUAAAUAGUCUACAUUUAAUACUCUUAAUCAGUAUCUAAAUAUUCGAUGUGACGGGUGCUAGAGAAGCUAUUCGCUUACCUGGAAACUCACAGCAUGGCCAAGCAUAGCAGUUGAUUAGUUGCCUUGACAUUUAGCUGGCGCUGCACCUCUCCUCUCUUAGGCUGUCCGCACUCGUCGUACUCUAUUUUCAUAUUUAAAAGGAAUAUUCUAUUCUAGUUAUCGAGAUUCUUUCCUUCAUAUUAAUUUCUCCUGCAAACACGUAUGUAAUCCUCUAUGCCACCUACCCCGUAUUUUAUUCACCCCUCUCCCCCCUCCCUCUCUCCCCCAACCGUUCCCUUCCCCUUCUCUUCCCCCCAUCUCCCGACGCCUCGCCUCCUGGGCCACAGGGCCUCCUCCCCGCCGGCCCCCCUCCCCCUCCUCCACGGUCCGAUCCUCCUCCCCGCCGGCCCCCUCCUCCCCUCGACAUCGGCACCCUCCUCUUCCUCCCCGCCGGUGCCCUCCUCGUCCUCCCCGCUGGUGCCCUCCUCCCCUUGACGCCGACGCCCUCCUCUUCCUCCCCGCCGAUCCCCUCCUCCCCUCCCCACCGGCCCCCUCCUCUUCCUCCCCGCCGGCGCCCUCCUCCUUCUCUCCGCCGGCCCGACGACGACGCGCCCCCGCCCCCAGCUCUCGCUCCCCCGUGCCCGUGGUGGUGGCGUAGGUGGAUGCAGCUCGAUGGCCCCCCCGCGCGGCGGCGGCUCGCCAACAGCGCCUCCUCCACCCGACGGCGCUCCUCCGCCCCGCGCUCCAGCGGCACCAGCCUCGUGGUACGGUGCUCCCUUCGCGAGCUCCGCAGCCGCAUCGACUCCGUCCGCAACACGCAGAAGAUCACCGAGGCCAUGAAGCUCGUGGCCGCCGCCAAGGUCCAGCGCGCGCAGGAGGCCGUCGUCUCCUCCCGCCCCUUCUCGGAGGCGCUCAUGGAGGUCCUCUAAAACAUGAACCAGGAGAUCCAGACGAAGGACAUCGACCUGCCGCUCACCUGCACCCGCCCCGUCAAGAAAGUGGCCCUCGUGGUCCUCACCCGCGAGCGCGGUCUCUAUGGCAGCUUCAACAACAACGUGCUCAAAAGGCGGACACCCGCAUCGAUGAGCUCAAGCAGCUGGGCCUCGCGCGGCGGCGGUCCGACGGCGGAGUUCCGAGCGGAGGCGCAAGGGGGAAGUCGUUUGGGCAGCAGCCUCGGGAGGCGCGUAGCGGGCGUCUUGGGCUUCCACUAGGAGUAGCGGACGGGGUGGCCGUCCGCUUGGUAGAGGAAGCCUCGCAGUACCGCGGACGGUUUGCAGUGUCCCGGUGCGGACAACCUUAUCCCGCCCACCUCCCGUGCUCCUAUGAGCCUGGCCCGGAAGAAACGAGCAAUUCUCCGUAUCUGUGGAGCUUGGCUGAUGAGGGAAUCUCGCGUCGUGCGGGACAGGCUUGAACACUGCUGUACCCAUCCAAUCACAUGUUGCCUGCAUGCCGAGAGCCUGGCUCAGCUGAAACCAGCCAACCAAUCAGGCCCCAGGCGGUCUGACCAGUCCGGACCUGACAACCUGCAAUCGGUCUGACGGGGUACAGACGGUCUGAGCGGUCCAACUCUAGAUUUGAGAAAUCUUUUGAUGUAUGUAGAUUAAUAUUUGUAAAACGAUUUCCUUGCAGGGUAAGAUCUCCCCACCCUAUAGAUAUAAAGGGCCGUGGCUGAUUGAACCUAACACCCAAUCGAACAAAAUAUUUAAUUUACUUUUAUCUUCAAACCCUAAUUUUUUCUAACCUCUUGCUUUUCUCUUUCGUCUUGACAGCGGCUGAGGAAGUUCCGAGUGGCCUACUGAUAUCAGAGCAAUCCUAAGCGCACCAUCCCUGAUGCCUGAUGGGUCCCUCCCGGAAAGCGUCAACAAGGGGCAUGGUGGAUGUUACAGUGAUUAUUUUCCCUAUUGAUCUAUAUUUUGGCUUCUUAUUGUUAGAAAUAUGUCUGUACAAAAUCAUUUCUACGUGCAGCCAUUGUUUUUUCAGUAUAGUCCAUAGCAGCCAUUUCUACUUUCUUGUAGUGCAAGUUUUGAACGAAACGAAGGUGAAUUUUGGCAUCGCAAGACUAUGGGAAUGAACUGGCUCCAGUUUCAUUCAAACAUAUAACUGCCUCGCAUAAAAAAACAAACAGCCUUUGCUUUAAAGAUAUCCGUCAUCCAUAUUAUCAUUCCUUUCAAGUCAGAGACGAUAUAUUUAUGCCGACAAACUGACAGCAGCAUAACACGCAUAUGCUGCUAAUUCGCUACAAAGUUGGAGCAUUAUAGAAAACUUCUAUCAAGUUACCAGCAGAUCAGAACCGUAGUUUUCAUCUGAAGAAAUUAGAUCCACUCAUGAAAUCAUGAGCCAUAACUCAUGAGAUCUGAUCAUACCAUACCCAAAAGACGGGGAAGUUCAAGAAAGUACUCUAGCAGUGCAGCUAAACCAAUCCGUAAACUGAGGGUCCACCAAACAUUUCCCAGUUUGUUUAGCUGUCGCAGCUUGGUGAAACGUAAGAGCUGAUGCUCUAGAUGAGAUCAGCAUUCUUUACAGCUGAUAACUACUUAACCAGAGUGCCUAGCCGAUACUAUUUCCUAGCUACAUAUAUAUGUUGUAACAUCACUGCUAAGGGAUCAAAACUUUGCUUGAUUGCGUGGUUACAUUGAGCAUUCGUCGAUCUUGCUUUUGGUCAGCUGAAAUGCUGGAAUCACCCAGGCUCCGCAGCAGCACUGCAUACCGGCCCAGUUGAAUUGUCCAAGACGAGCUUUGCAUCCCAUGCAAAAGAGCUUAUUCGCAACAUAUCCUUCUUCCACUGCAAAUAGUAUAUACAGAAAUAUCAGAGGUUUAUGACUAAUGCUCUAAAAAGAAAGAGGUAAAACCAUCAUGUAAAAGAAACUGACCAGUUUGCAUCCACUUCAUCGGCUCCACAUAGAUGCAGGGACAUUCAGGUUUUUUGUCAUCAUCAUCCACAGACCGUUUGCCUCGGUUGAAGCACUUUCCACCCGCACCUACUUCAUGGGUAACAACAAAUUCUUGAGUUGCAAGCAUUCUCCGACAUUUUUUGCAGCGGUAGAUAACACCUGGAUCAGAAGUUCGUUUUUCUGGGUUGACAUCAGAUUCUGCAGAUGUCUCCUGACAUGUUUCUGUAGGCUUUUGAUUAACCUCCAAUCCUGCUUCCCGAUCAGCUUUCUUGUCUGGGAUGAUAUCAGUUUCCACCACUGUGUCCAGACAUGUUUCCAUUGGCUCUUCAUUGACCUUGGAUCCUGAAAGCUCAUCAGUUUCCUUUUCUGGGUUAAUAUCGGUUUCCACAGGAUUUUGAUCCACCUUUGGUCCUGGCUUCUGUUGAAUUACCGGUUCUGGUGCCUGACUGGUUUCCACCUCCUUCAAACCACAUAAUAUCAGUUGUACGAAAUUUACAUGCUGACAUGAUACAACCAUACGGUACAUUAUAUAAAUUAACUUACCAUUUUGUUUAAACUUGAAAUUAAAGCCUCCAUAACCGUACUGAAAAUCGAUUGGAUGUUGCUCACACCUGCAGUGUUCACAGACAGAAAUAAGAGACCACGAAUAGCACAGGUAACAUUUAAAGCAAAAAAAGUUCCUUGCAUACUGCAAUUAGACAAAAAAUUUAAGAUGUAAGUAUGUAACUGCUCACAUAUAAUUCAUGUAUCCUCAUAUAGUUAUGGAACCCUAAUAUUCAGCUACCCUUAGCACCAUUUAUUUGUUAAGGACAUGACCUGUAGAAAAUACAUUCCAUAACUUGCAGAAGCACAGUCCCUCUGUGACGUAUGUGCACCAUUGUUUUGUGAUUGGACUGAAACUCGUCAUGACAUUGUGUGCUGCGACAACCCCAUGAAUGUUAUAUAUCCUCUGAAUAGUUUCUCUGAAGCAGUAUUAAACACAAUCCUAAGUUCCUAACAAUUGAAGUCAUGCAGCAAUGCCAAGUACAGUACGUAUUUUGACUAAAACCAUGUACAAGAAACUUAGCAGUACCAAGGAUUUUAUCAGACUUUACGCCUCCGAGUAGACUGUAAAUUAUCUAGCAAUAAUGUCCAUUUGGUUCAAAAGGUGUUUUUUUAAAAAAAAUGAACACACUGUAUAAUUCACAGCUACAGUCAUCAGGCCUAUGCAGCACAGAUCAUCUAAGACCAAAAUGUCCAGUUGAAUCAUAGCGCAAAUUAUAUCCUACAUUUCCUUUGUACCACUAAUUUCUGAUAAACCAAAGAGCUUGUAUACAAACCAACAAGCCAUACCAACGAUUCCUUCCAGUGGAUUCAGAAUGUCCCAAUCAAGCAAUCAUGGAGCCUCCAACAGACUGAAGCACUGCAAGGUUCUAGGUCGGUUGUUCAGGAUCUCCAAAGCUAUCGAACCCCAAAACCUCACCUAAACCCAACCACAAGACGCAGGGCUGGGCAUAGCGCGCGUCAUGCCGGUAUAAAUUGAGCCCCAGAAAAUAUUCCACGAAAUAAUUUAGACCCGCACCCUGGAUCCCAGUCCUUAGGGCAUCAGCUGAGACCCACCGAUUUCGCGCGCCCUAAAUAAGAUGAUGAAGAAGCCUAAUCGAACAGCCAUGGAUGGACGGAAACAAAUUACGCUGCUAAAUGAUGCGCGCGCGGAAACCGGGUUGGACCGAUUACUCUCACGGCAAUUGAAACACCUCCCAGAAAAAACGCAAUUAGACGGGGGGAAAUCCGUCGAGCGAGUUAGGGUUCCUUACCAACGGUCCAAAUCGAUCGCAGGCGUGGAUGGAUUCGUCCACUCCGCGCCAACCCGAAACCGGUGGGGGCGGAGGAGGAGCACGGCGAGUCGACGACGACGACGACAGGAGUGCGACGGCUUCCUGGGACUUGGGAGUGGAGUGGAUUGGAGGCUAGUUUAUUAGGCGGCGCAGCGCGGGGAAGAGGACUUGAGGACGGCACGGACAGGAAACGUACGCGUACAUGGCCGUAUCCGACCUUUCUUCCAUUUUGACAGACGCGAAUUAGACGGAGAUUAGAUAUUGUGUUUCCCAAAAUAAAAGUUGUAUCAAUAAUAAUGGUAUUUCACAUAUAUUUUGAUACAAAUGUUAUUUGAUAACAUAUUCUAAGAGCAUUGUCAAAGCUAAUUCAAACACGUCCAUAAUAUGCUACGUAUAAAGAAAAUAAGGUACUACGAAUUCGCAAAAAGAAAAGCAUUCUGGCGUGUAAAAAUAAUUGUAUUACCUCAAAUGCCACUGCAGUUUUGUAAAUUUUUAGGACGUUUGACACUGAUAACGUGAAUCCACAAGCCCAACAAGUGUUCUGGUGUGCACAUUGGCGAUCCAUCAAGCGGGCGCAAAAUACAUAACACUCGUAUCUAGGAAAGUUUCUAGUUCUACUAGUUGAUAAAAGGAGGUGAUACAGUAAAAUACAAUGCCAAAACAUAAUUCGAACGUUCGGCACGGUAUAUACCAUUUUCAGAAUCUUUUAGACACAUGGAUAUAAAGUCUAAAGAGUGAGGUAACAACUGUCCAGAUACAAAAUCAGCAUCCUGUUCAAAGAGUUCGGAUAUAGCUGCUCAAAAUGGGGGAGAAGAUCAAGCUCCUCGUCUCGUGAUACAGCUCGCUCUUUUCCUUGUCCUAAACACUUCUAGUCAGUACUCAGUAGUCACCAAAAGGGUCUCAAUAACCGUUUUCAGAUUGAAUUCAUUGUCCAAUGACAAAACGAACUCGGGCACAUGGUUCAGCUUAUCGCACGUUACAAUGCCAACACCAAAAGAUGGAGUAACCUGAGAGAGCAUCAAGAUGAUUUUCACCACUUGCCAAACCAUAUCCUUCAAAGAUGAGAGAAAAAGUUAGCAUGUAUCAAGAUCACUGACAGACUGCUAGCAAAACUGAGGAAAUUAACUAAUGUUUCCAGGAUGAUCACAGUGGAUGUUUUCUACAAUCCAUCAAGCGACGUUGAAUGGUGCUAUUUUCAUGUCACCAAUCAAACUAGUUUUCUAUAUAUUACUGAAUUGUAAACGAAGUUUGACACACCAUGCAUUUCUGAAUGGAGGGAGUCUUUUGCAAAUAUGACUAACUCAACCCUAAGAUAUUGUAUCACUUAAUCAGUCCAUCUAAUUGACAAAGUUGCACAUCAUUAACAGUCCCGUAAUCUUGAAAGACUCAAAAGUGGGAUAAGAAUCAUGCAUAGUAAAAACCAGUAGCAUAUUCUUGAAAGACUCAAGCCUAACAUAUAGCAUAAGUUUUGAUCUAUCUUCUACAAAAGGUGAAAAUGAACACAAAGCCCAACACGUUCAUGCCAAAACAUAACUGGCUUAAUGCAAGACAUGGCAAGGAAUGAUUUCAAGAAUAAAACAUUAAAUUGGAGGGAAAUUGCCCCUUCCAUCAAAUUCAUUUCCUAAACAUUGCUCGAUAAAGCAGUAAAGUGCAUCAGUUAAAAUAUAGAGUAGGUACUCCUUACACGGUUUUAUUGGCAACUGAUAGCUAAAGCAAAAAAAAAGAAAAGAAAGAAAACAGAGAGAGGUGCUAUGGAGAUGUGCAGUGAUAAAUAUAUUAUCUAGGGAUAAAGCACACAAAAUGGUUCCAUGGUGUAGUGGUUAUCACUCCAGACUUUGAAUCUGGCAACCUGGGUUCGAAUCCCGGUGGGACCUACCCUCUUUACAUAAAAAGAGAAUUUGUGACAUGCCAUUCAAAAGAUUCAAACUUUUGGAAAAACCAAAUUAGCUUUUCCUGGUUCACUUUAAUACCAUCCAAAAACUUUUCAUCGUUUGCUCCAGAAUUUAGUCCAUUGCAUGCUUAACAUACCAGGGAUAGAAAACGUAGUAGGAAACAGUGAGAUGUAGAUCGGCUAGCAUUUGUGACUUUCCAUCCUACAGGCGGGAUUAAGACGGAGGCAACAGGAGUUCGCAAAAAAUGGAACAUGAGUAGGUUAGCUCGUUUGAAGAGAAACAACAUAAUCUGAGAGUGAGACAGAAGAUAAGCGAGUUGGGUAACUCUGACAACAAUGAAUGGUGCUGUAAUGCAAGUUCGACACACCACACAUUUCUGAAUGAAUUGCAAAUAUGUCUCACUCAAGCCAAGAUAUUGCAUUUCUUAAUCAGUCCAUUGACACAGUAGAACAAAUUAACAAAAUUGUGUCAUUAACAGCCCCAUAAUGUUGACAGACUCAAAAGUAGGAAAGAAUCUAUAAUAAAUCCCAGUAGCAUGACAAAAAAAAGGUGAAAACAGAUGCAAGCACAAGUUCAUGCCAAAACUCAACAGUCUGACUGCAGAUAUGGUAUUGAAUAUAUUAAAAAAUAAAUGUUGAAUUGGAGAGGAAUUAACCCUUCAGUCAAAUUCACUUACUAAAAAGUGCUCAAUAAAGCAGCGAGGUGCAUUAGUUAAAAUACAGAUAUUAGCUUAUUGCUUCCAUUUUAUUGGGAAAGGCUAGCAGAAGAAAACAAAAAUGGUUCUAGGGGGAUGUCUUAUGAUAAAUAUAUUACCUAGGGAGAAAACACACAAAAUGGUUCCAUGGUGUAGUGGUUAUCACUCCAGACUUUGAAUCUGGCGACCUGGGUUCGAAUCCCGGUGGGACCUGCCCUUUUUAACAUAAAAAGAGAAUUUGUGAGGUGCCAUUCAAAAGAUCCAAACUUUUGAAAAAACUCAAUUAGCUUUUCCAGGUUCAUUUUAAAACCAUUAUCAUACUUUUCAUCAUUUGCUCCAGUAUUUAGUCCAUUGCAUGCUUAAUGUACUUGGGAUAGAGAAUGUAGUAGGAAACAGCGAGAUGUAGAUUGGGCAAGGAUUCAUGGCCUUCCAUCCUACAGGUGGGAUUAAGAUGAAGGUGACAGGAACUGCGCACAAAAUAGAACAUGAGUAGGACAGCUUGGCUGGAGACAAACAACAUACUUGAGAGUGAAACACGAGAUAAGCAAGUUGGGUACUCAUGACAAUGAAUGGUGCUAUUUUCAUGUGACAAAAAAGAUAAUUUUCUACUCCCUCCGUUUCAAAAUGUAGGUCGUUUUGGCUUUUCUAGAUACAUAGAUUUUGCUAUGUAUCUAGACAUAACCCUAUAUUUAGAUGCAUAGCAAAACCUAUGUAUCUAGAAAACCCAAAACGACCUACAUUUUGGAACAGAGGUAGUAUAUAUUACUGAUCUGUAAUAGAAAUUUGACACACCAUGCCUUUCUGAAUGAAUUGCAAAUAUGUCUCCCUCAAGCCAAGAUAUUGCAUUUCUUAAUCAGUCCACUGACACGGUACAACUAAUUAACAACAUCAUGUGUCAUUAACAGCCCCCUAAUCUUUAUAGACUCAAAUGUAGGAAAGGAUCUAUAAUAAAACCCAGUAGCUAGCAUAACCAAAAUAAAGGUGAAAAAACAUUUGGAAUGCAGAUAUGGCAUUGGAUAUUUAAAAAAAAAUAAAAUGUUGAAUUGGAGAGUUAUCCCUUCAGUCAAAUUCACUUCCUAAAAAGUGCUCAAAAAACAGCAAGGUGCAUUACUUAAAAUACAGAUAUUAGCUUAUUACUUUUUAUUGUGAAAGGCUAGCAGAAGAAAACAAAAAUGGUUCUAGGAGGAUGUGCUAUGAUAAAUAUAUUACCUAGGGAGACAAAAAACAUAAAAUGGUUCCAUGGUGUAGUGGUUAUCACUCCAGACUUUGAAUCUGGCAACCUGGGUUCGAAUCCCGGUGGGACCUGCCCUUUUUACAUAAAAAGAGAAUUUGUGACAUGCCAUUCAAAAGAUCCAAACUUUUGGAAAAACUCAAUUAGCUUUACCAGGAUACUUUUCAUCAUUUGCUCCAGUAUUUAGUCCAUUGCAUGCUUAACAUACAUGGGAUACAAAAUGUAGUAGGAAACAACAAGAUGUAGAUUGGCAAGGAUUCAUGGCCUUCCAUCCUACAGGAGGGAUUAAGAUGGAGGUGACAAGAGUUGCACACAAAAUGGAACACGAGCAGGACAGCUUGGCUGGAGACAAACAACAUACUUGUGACUUGAGAGUGAAACACGAGAUAAGCAAGUUGGGUAACUCUUAUGACAAUGAAUGGUGCUAUUUCCAUAUGACCAAAAAAAUAUAUAUAUUACUGAUCUGUAAUGAAAAUUUGACACACCAUGCCUUUCUGAAUGAAUUGCAAAUAUGUCUCCCUCAAGCCAAGAUAUUGCAAUUCUUAAUCAGUUCAUUGUCAUGGUACAACCAAAUGACAACGGCAUGUGUCAUUAACAGCCCCAUAGUCUUGAUAGACUCAAAAACAGGAAAGAAUUAUGGUAAAACCCAGUAGCUGGCAUAGCACGAAAAAGGUGAAAAUGGAUGCAAGCACAAGUUCAUGCCAAAACUCAAGAGUCUGACUGCAGAUCUGGCAAUGAAUGAUUUUUAAAGAAAAACAUGUUGAAUUGGAGAGGAAGUAUCCAUUCAGUCAAAUUCACUUCCUAAACAGUGCUCAAUAAAGCAGCAAGGUGCAUCACUUAAAAUACAGAUAUUAGCCUAUUCCUUGCGAUCUAUUGGGAAAGGCUAGCAGAAGAAAACAAAAACGGUUCUAAGGGGUGUGCUAUGAUAAAUAUAUUACUUAGGGAGAAAACAAAUAAAAUGGUUCCAUGGUGUAGUGGUUAUCACUCCAGACUUUGAAUCUGGCAACCUGGGUUCGAAUCCCGGUGGGACCUUCCCCUUUUUUACAUAAAAAGAGAAUUUGUGGUAUGUCAUUCAAAAGAUCCAAACGUUUUGAAAACCCCAAUUAGCUUUUCCAGGUUCACUUUAAAACCAUUCAGAAACUUUUUAUCAUCUGCUCCAGUAAUUAGUCCAUUGCAUGCUUAAUGUAUUUGGGAUAGAGAACGUCAUAGGAAACAGCUGAGACGUAGAUCAGCAAGGACUUGUGGCCUUCCAUCCUACAGGCGGGAUUAAGAUGGGAGGUGACAGGAGUUGCGCACAAAAUGGAACAUGAGUAGGAUAGCUUGGCAGGAGACAAACAACAUACUUGAGAGUGAGACAGUAGAUAAGCAGGUUGGAUAACUCUCAUGACAAUGAAUGGUGCUAUUUCCAUGUGACCGGGAAAGAAUAAUUUUCCAUAUAUUACUGAUCUGUAAUGGAAGUUUGACACACCAUGCCUUUCUGAAUGAAUUGCAAAUAUUUCUCACUAAAGCCAGGAUAUUGCAUUUCUUAAUCAGUUCAUUGGCAUGGGACAGCUAGUUGAUAAAUUUGUGCAUCAUUAACAGCCCAUAAUCUUGAUAGACUCAAAAGCAGGAAAGAAUCAGGUAUAGCAAACACAGUAGCCGGCAUAACACGAAAAAGGUGAAAAUGAAUGCAAGCGGAAGUUCGAGCCAAAACCCAACAGUCUGACUGCAGAUAUGGCAAUGAAUGAUUUUAAGAAACAUGUUGAAUUGGAGAGGAAGUAUCCAUUCAGUCAAAUUUACUUCCUAAAUAGUGCGCAAUAAAGUAGUAAGGUGCAUCAGUUAACAUACAGAUAUUAGACUAUUCCUUGCAAUUUAUUAGGAAAGGCUAGCAGAAGAAAACAAAAAUGGUUCAAGUGGGACGUGCUAUGAUAAAUAUAUUACCUAAGGAGAAAACGCAUCAAAUGGUUCCAUGGUGUAGUGGUUAUCACUCCAGACUUUGAAUCUGGCAACCUGGGUUCGAAUCCCGGUGGGACCUACCCUUUUUUUAACAUAAAAAGAGAAUUUGUGAUAUGCCAUUCCAAAGAUCCAAACUUUUGGAAAAAUUAAAUUAGCUUUUCCUGGUUCACUUUAAUACCAUUCAGAAACUUUCCAUCGUUUGCUCCACUAUUUCGUCCAUUGCAUGCUUAAUGCGCUUGGGAUAGAUGACAUAGUAGGAAACAGCAAGAUCUAGAUUGGCAAGGAUUAGUGGCCUUCCAUCCUACAGGCAGGAUUAAGAUGGAGGCGACAGGAGUUGCACACAAAAUGAAACAUGAGUAGGACAGCUUGGCUGGAGACAAACAACAUAUUUGAGAGUGAGGAAGGUGAUAAGCAAGUUGGAUAAUUCUCACGACAAUGAAUGGUGCUAUUUCCAUGUGACCAAUAAAAGUAGUUUACUAUAUAUGACUGAUAUGUAAUAGAAGUUUGCACCACCAUGCAUUUCUGAAUGAAUUGCAAUUAUGUCUCACCCAUGCAAAGAUAUUGCAUUUCUUAAUCAGUUCAUUGACAUGGUACAAGUAAUUGACAAAGUCGUGCGUCAUUAACAACCCCAUAAUAUUGAUAAACUCAAAGCAGGAAAGAAUCAGGUGUAGUAAAGCACAGUAGAUGGCACGCAUAAUAAAAUAAUGGUGAAAAUGGAUGCAAGCACAAGUUCAUGCCAAAACUCAACACUCUAACUGCAGAUAUGGCAAUGAAUGAUUUAAAAAGGACAAAAUGAUGAAUGGGAGAGAACCCUUCAGUAAAAUUCAUUUCCUAAAUGGUACUCAACAAAGCAGCAAGGUGUUUCAGUUAAAAUACAGAAAUUAGCCUAUUCUGUGAGAUUUAUUGGAAAUGGCUAGCAGAAUAAAUAAAAUGGCGCAAGAGAUUUGUUAUGAUAAAUAUAUUAUCUUGGGAGAAAACACAUAAAAUGGUUCCAUGGUGUAGUGGUUAUCACUCCAGACUUUGAAUCUGGUAACCUGGGUUCGAAUCCCGGUGGGACCUACUUUCUUUUGACAAAAAGGGAAUAGAGAUAUUUACUCAAAAAGUCCAACCUUUUGAAAAAUACAAUUAUAUUUAUCUGGUUUGCUCCAUUCCUUUAAUCUAUUGCAUGUUUUAUGAGCCCGGGGUAGGGAACGCACUAGGAAGGUGAGAUGUAGAUAAGCAUGGUUUAAUAGCCAUGCCCCUUUCACCCUGCAACUGGGUUGGCAUGGAGGGGAUAGGAUUGCGCACAAUAAGGAACUGUAAUAGGACAGCUUAUAGAUGCAGAGAAAUGGCAUACAUGUGACACACAGAGGGAGAUAAAAAAGUUGGUUGAUUCCUUUUGUUUUCUUCCUCUGCGAAAAUCUCAUCCCACUAAUUACAUAUGGAUCUAGCAAACUUAGCCAGGGAAAAUACAAAGUAACAAUAUGAUUGGUUCAAACUAAGCUGAAUGAAAAUAUAUAAAAUGUCAAUCCUACGCACCUAGAUGUUGCUUCACACCCUGAUAGAAAAAAUCAAUGCAGCAAUGGGUACAUCCAAAAGAGACAAGGUGCAGGACAGUGUCAAGGAACGCUGUUGUACAACACAUCGUCGCCAGCCUAAAGCCAUAGGCUAGUCAUUUGUGUUAGUGAUUGUGGCCUCUGUUUUACAGAUCAUGUUGCAUAGAACAAUUAUAAUAUUGUUACCAAGUUAGGCAGUUUUGAAUAAAUUGUUUUGAAUAAAUUCCUGGGAAUUUACAAAGACAAAAUUCCAAAUUUUCAAGACUCUUAAUCUGGUACCAUGGCAAAGAUUAGUUACUGGCAGUCAAUUGAAAGAGAAAAGUUAGUUCCCUACAGAUAUGUUGAAGCAUCUGCAAAAGAUUGUCCCGGUAGAUAUUAUACAGAGGUUUGUUUCAUAUAUUCUGUUUUAGUAUAUGAGCAAGGUUUAAACAAAAUAAAGGUCCCUACUGAGAGAUCUAGGAGUCAAUGAAGCAAACAGAGCAUCUACACGAAAUAUAUUGGCAUGUGACACAAAAAAGAAGCUGCUGUAACAGGCAUACAGGACAUGCUGGAGCACAACAGCUAUACUAUCCAACAAGGCAACAAGCAUCAGAAAUUACCUAGCACAUUGAAUUUUGAGCAGGGCCCGAAGAACUAAUAAGCUUGGCAGGCACACAGCAGAAAGCUAGAAACAGAGCAUGGCACCGUCCAUAAUCCCGCAACCUGUGAACACGACAAAUCCUAUCAAUGAGCCAACCCAGGUAGCACAACUUUAUCGAUCCUGAACGCUCAACUGCAUAUAUCGUUAAUAAAGCGAAACCCUCACAGGCAAUCGGUUGGCAGAUCAAACUGGACGCGGCAAGGGCCAACGGCCACCGGCUUGAGAUGCGGCCGUAAUGGGCGCCCGACCGGAGAGGUCAUGGAUGACCGCGUCGGCGGGGAGAUCCACGCCGCAGGCUAGACGUCGUGGACGGCGGACAGCGGCCUCGGCGCAGAGGAGGACGCCGUGGGCAGGCACCGAUCGGUUGUCCCCCUAAAGCGGCGGCGCCAUUGGAAGCCGCAGACAGCGAGGCCGUGGAAGCCACGGCGCGCCUUCGUAAGAGAGGAGGCGGAGGCGGAGGCGGCAUGGGGGGUGGUGAAGGGUGGGGGGAGGAGGACGCCGUCGCCCGGCGUAGGGUUUGGACUUUGAAGGAAGCGGCGACGAUAGAUACGGAGGAAGAGGAGAACGAAUGGCGGAGAAGAGCGGCCGCCGCCGGCGACGAGAGAGCUUCGUGGCCGUUUCGAUCCGCCUUCCUGUCGGCCCAACAGGCCAACAGGCUCAACUACUGGGCCGGCCUCGGUUUGAGCCCACGGCAUCUCCGCGCGGGCGAAUCUGGAAGAGAGUCCACGCGUGCGAUGGGAUGGGGCUCGCACGGACUCUCAUGUGUCGCGUCGUGUUCGUGUCCCGUCGCCGCCGCAAACGCUGCGUCGGCCGUGGUGAGCCGAUGACGCAGCACGAGCUUCCUCGAUCCCAUCCACUCCGGUCGCACGUGUCAGCUCCUCCCGACACGCGUCCCGCUCCGGCGCCGCCACGGCAACGUCAACGUCAAACCCCGGCCGCCCACCGCCAAUUUAUAAGCCUCCCGCCGAUCACGCUACAGCCCAUCACCAAGCCAAAACCGCAAGCCACUACCAGCGAUCAGCUCACACUACUACUAUUACGCCCAAUCCAACACAGCAACCACGCUCUGCUCUUAGCUCUCGCCGGCAAGCUCGCUCGCCGCAAUGGCGUCGCAGCAACAGCCCAGGAAGCAGGCCACCAACCGGGCCCAGGAGGAGGUAGGAGGAGGCCAACAAGGCCAGGCGAUGAACCUGGAGGAGAUCGGCAAGUACCGCUCCGAGGCGCAGCAGCGGUCGGCCGACGCCAUCCGCGCCGCCGAGGAGCGCUUCAACAAGGCCAACAACAAUCAGGCACCCAGCGCCGCCACCGUGGUCUCGUAUCAGGAGACCACGAGGCAGCCCGCGGCGAAGCAGCAGGGUGAGAGCCACGGCCACGGCGUGGGACACGGCUCCGAGCCGCAGCAGUGGCUGGCGGAAACCGCCGCCGAUGCCAGGGAGAGGUGCAACAAGGCAAUGGGGACGAGCCCCGCCGCCGCGCACGGCGGCAAGGCGUCGCCGGCCGGCCACGCGCCGGCGGGCGCGGCGCCUCCGCACCAACAGGGAAGGAGGGAGCAGGAGGGCGGCGGUAAAGCCCGCGCCCACCUGACGCGGCAGGAGGAGAUGCCUGACAGGAGGUCGGCCGCGGAGGCCGCGAGCGCCGCGGUGGAGAGGCACGACAGGGGCGGCGGGGAGUUCUCCGCGGGGCAGGGCGUUAAGGAGAAGGCCGCGCGCGCGGCCGGCGCCAAGCCGAAGGGCGCCGAGGCCAAGGACGCCGGCGCCCGGGGCGCGCAGGCCGCGGCGGGGAAGGCCCAGGAGGCCUCGGGGGCGGCGGCCGACCGCACCAAGCAGGCGGCCGCAACGGCGAAGGACGCCACGGCCGGCGCGGCCGGGACGACCGCCGAGUACGCGAGGCAGGCGGCGGCGAAGGCCAAGGACGUGACGCUGGGCACCAGGGAGGCGGCGGCCGAGUACGCGAAGCAGGCCGCGGCAAAGGGCAAGGACGUGUCGGUGACCGCCGCCGGGACGGCGGCGGAGUACGCGAAGCAGGCGGCGGUGAAGGGCAAGGACGUGACGGUGAGCGCCGGCGGGACGGCGGCGGAGUACGCCAGGGCCGCGGCGGAGAAGGCGAAGGAGGCGGCGGUGGCUACCGCGAGGACGACGGCCGGGUACACGCAGCAGGCGGCGGCCAAGGCGACGGAGAUGACGGCGGACACCGCGCGCAAGGUGGCGGAGUACGCCAGGGAGAAGGCGGAGCAGGGCAAGGAGCGCCAGGCGGAGGAGCCCCGCGAGGACGUGGCGUGGGAGGCGGCGGGCAAGGCCCGCCACAUGACCGGGCAGCACGAGGACACGACCGGCGCCAUGGCGCGCAGGGUGGGGGACACCGCUGGGCAAGCCAAGGACAUGGUGAAGGACGUGACGGGAUCCAUGGCGCAGAAGGCGAGCGACACGGCGGGGCGCGCCAAGGACACGGCGAUGGACGCGGCCGGCAGCGUGGCGCAGAGGUCGAGGGACACCGCUGCCGAGGCCGGGGACAAGACGAAGGACGCCGCCUCACACGCGGAGCACAAGGCAGGGGAGGUUAAGGACAGAGCAUCGGGGACCGGCAAGGCCGACGGCGGUGUCAAGACGAAGGCGAAGGUAUGUGCGCGCCUGGCGUCCGGUCAUGUGUGUAGGGGUGCGGUGUCUUUUGAAGUGUGUGCGUAGCUGACGGCUCAGUUGUGAUGCAGGGCGGCGGCGGCGAGGACACGACGGUAGUGGGCGACGUCCUGGAAACGGUGGGCGCGAUGGUGGUCGGGCUGGCGCAGCACACCAAGGGGCUCAUCGCCGGCGAGGAGGAGCUCGUCCCCGUCGAAGGCGGCGAGGAGGGAAAGGUCACCGAGGGAAGGAAGGAAGAGAAGCGCAAGACCGCUUGAUGAUGCGAUCGUUGCUCUGCUUCUUGGCUUCGCCGGCAAAGUUUGGGUUCGCCGUGUACUGGUUCCGCGACACGUCCAGCUGCGUAUAGUAGAAUAACGUUGCCAGUGUACGUGCGUCGCCAUCUCCUUUUAAACAAGGAGAGCUGCCAAUUAUAUUAAGGAGAGCGGUCGGUUGCCAUGUCAGAGUGUGAUCCUGUGCAUGCACGACGCUGUGAUCGUGUCAACCUGCUAUGUGCUCUUAUGUACUCCUAUAGUCCUAUGUAUUUGUACAUGUUUGGAUGCCGUCUCCGUUUUCUGCCUAUGUGCUUUGGAGCCAGGUAGGAAAGCAUGAUAAGCUUUAUUUCUUUCUUUUAAAAUAAAAGUAUAGAUGCGUACACAGUUUCCUGCACAUGCGUUUUAGGAUAAGGCAGGAAGCCAGUAUAAUUUUUAUUUUAUUCUCAAAAAACAUGGAAUGUCUAUUUAUGUACAGUUUCCUGAACGUACGCUUUAGGAUAAGGCAGGAAACCAGUAUAAUUUUUAUUUUAUUCUCAAUGUCCAACUGUCGACAGAUUUUUAGAGAGGUAAAAUUAGACUUUUAGAGGUAAAAUUAGAAAAAUUUUGUAGUAUUAUGAGGUUGUUCUGCAAUGUUGUAGGUACUACCUUUGAAAUAUCGUAAAAUAGCCUAUACAACGGCAGAAUUUUUUAUUAUUCCUUUCCUAAAAAUUAUGAAAUAUUUUGAAACACAUAAUAAUGUUUGUAACGUCAGAUGACAUCAUUUGGAAUCUAGAAAAAUUUUGAUUGAUUUUUCUAAAAAUAUGUUCCUUUCCUAAAAAUCAUGAAAUAUUUUGAAACAUCACGUAAUAACAUCAGAGGACAUCAUUUGGAACAUAGAAAAAUUUUGAUUGAUUUUUUCUAAAAAUAUGUUAACAGAUAGAUGGUAUUUCUCAACAAACAUAUAUAGUUUUCUGGGUAGGAAACUAUAACAACCUUUGCAAAACAGAAUGGUAUAUGGAUGCAUAUGUACAGUUUUCUACCUAUGCGUUUUGGAACUAAGCUGGAGUUCAAUGAGCAGGUCAGAUCAUCCCAUCAGGCCACGACGGCUGUGGAUCGAACAUUGACCAUAGGUGAGGCUACUUCUCCCAGGCACGAGAAUCAAUUUAAUAUGGUAAUUUCGUGAGAGAAUCACCACGCACCUGCACGUGCGCCUAUGUUUUGGCGUCAUGAGCCCCUGAACUAGCCGAGCUAAGCUGGGAUUCUGGGAAUUGGUGGGUAGCCUGGUUGGGGUUAGCCGGUUGUUGGUUCCGGCUAAUGGGCUUCAACGUGUUGAGUCAUAAUUGUAAGCAGGCUUUGUACAGUUGAUGAGCCCGCUACUCUUUCCAGCCAAGCUGGUCCAACAUGCGAAGAUAAGAUCGUCUUCUACCUUGAGAUCCAUUCUUCAUUUAUACUGUCCAAAACUGGUGGGGCGAGGGGAGAGGUGGUUCGCAGGCAAGCCCCUAAUCCAACAUUGCCCACAUGGCUUGGCGACUACUGUUAGCGCGUCAGGUUGUGAACCGCAAGUGCACGGAUUAUCGUACCUUUUCUAUUAAAAUAUUCCAUCUAAGAUUUAUCAAUUUAUGAAUCGACAGCGAACUACCUAAGGUUUCUAUCUAGUCUCACGGAUCAAUCCUAACAUGAAACGUUGAUUGCAUAUGGGAGAUAAACCUGAUGUAAAGAUGAAUGAUAAGAACACAGGUUGAUCACAUCCACAAAUAAACACCACCAAGGGUAACAAGAGCCUAUCGCCUUCUAGUUGCAGAUCUAGUCAAUAAGUAAGCAUAUCAUGCAUCUCAUCCAAAACAAUCUCUAAACUACUACCUCCGGUCAACCUCCCGAAAACUCCCACCUUAUAUGGAAGCAGACACUAUCACGAUCUCUCUAAGGGCACGACCAAGUGAACGUGUCUAAGCAUCAUGAAAGGUCAACAUAUCAAAUCUAAUUUUCAUGAUUACAUAAGGCAUGCUAUGUAGUUUAAUUUAGAAUUAGAUUAAGGAACAAGCGUAUUCACGAUAGAUGAAAAGUAUAAAAGGAGGCAUUGAGUUACUAAUAGAUCAAAUAACAUAAAUUGCAUUGCUCACAUAAUAGAUGUAUUAGAUCAUAACCUCCGAGUACAUACCAUCGAUAAUCCACUACUAGCUUCUGAACUCCACCAUAGCACAACCACGUGCGUAGGGAGGUCAUGGCGGCUAGGAUUUGGCCUAAGCCAUCUCCUAGAUAACUCUGAAGACUUUGGUGAAUGCCCUAGGUUUCACCAACUUCUGAUGGAUGGAUGCGCAUGCUGAUGGAGAAUGGGCAUAUUUAUAGCCUGGAGGUACUAACGGGGCGAAGGGCAUGUCAAUCGGAGUUAAAAAUGGGCCAGACUGAUCGACCCAAGACCUAGGUGAUUUCACCACCUUGCCAACCUCAAAUGCCAAAACUUUCUAUGCGAAAGUUGUAGAUCAUUUUGAGCUAUGCAGUUUAGAUACCAAAUUCGCUCCAAUCGAAGUUUGGAUGAGGGAGAUAUACUUUGUGCAAGAUCUGCUGCUUCCGCGGCCUUUCUGAUUUUCCAAUCUUGAGGAUCUUUUAGCUUGACCUCGAGAUUGACUUGUCAAAUCACCACAUACUUCAUCUCUAAGUUAUCCGGAAUGAUGGUUCGUCGAAUGUGGAUACAUUAGGAGGAUGAAUUGGGCUAGCCCGAUAGGCCUAUGGGUCAUGGGCCGAUCGGCCUACCCUCUUUUAGGCUCCUCUGGUCCUCAUCUUUCUCAUGUAGACUCCUUGUGUUGUCCAAAGUCCAGGUCCAAAUCAAUCCUGUACAAAAGCGCCACUUUAUGUCGUAUUUCCUGCCAUUUUGCAAUGUAGUGCAAAAUACAACACAUAUACGGAUAUGGAGUUAUUUCAGGUGCCAAGUGGCUGGUUAGUAUAAGAUUUAGUCCAAAACACUACUUAAAUAGCACUAAAAAUGUGGCAAUAACGAGCGUCAAAGGACCCUAUUAUUGUUAAUUAAAGAGCAUGAACCAUGAGGAAACUUGCGUCUCUCCAUUAAAUACUGGAUGAACAAAUUUAUGCAGCAGCCAAGUAGGUGAUCAUGGGAAAAACAGUAUAGUGCACUCCGUCAACUUUGGUAUCUACCAGUUUUGGAAAAAAAAAUGACUGUUUUACUCUUGAAUCUCUUUUUAUCGUAGCUUGUGUACGUAGCAAGCCUAUUUAGCAUCAAUUAGCCGUUGCUAUGAGUUCAAUGAACCAGUUUAGUGAUAUUAAUGCCAUGAAAAGUAUAUAUAUUUUGAUAAAAAAAACGGCCUCAAGUUCUUCGUUAAUCUCUAUCUCUGCCAAAUAUUAAAAUACGGAACAAAUCCUUCGUAAGUUCUGCCACCUUAGUUUUGACAUUCAUCCUCGGGGCCUUUGUUGCGUCAAAAAUCACGCGUUAACCGAUUCGAAACCGUACAGAACCAGCACUUGCCGUGCAAAACCGAAACCAACCUGAACACUUCUGCCUCCGAGGAACUCUGACGCGCAAAAAGACCAGCUGCGGCGGCUUCCCGUGCGCGAGGCAAGCGCUCCCAGCUCCUGGGCCUGCUGGGCCGCCUGGCUGCUGCACGAGGCUUGUGCCGCGAGCUGAUUUUCUCAUCUAGUCUCUAAAAAUAUACGACAUAUCGAAAAAUCAUAUCCAAUAUUAUCUACUUGGGUCCUACUUUAUAUAUUUCAACAUAAUCAGAUAUGCACCAUUUAUAUGAUUUCCCCUAUAUUUAUUUUCAGCAUACUUCAAAAGAAACGAGCUAAUUUAGGGAUCGAAGAAGAAGAAGAACGAGAAGAAAAUCAACAAGUUCUGCAGGAUCAAAGAAAUAUAAAAAAAAUCCAAUGCAUGAUGCACAAAAAGAGCUCAAUGAAAGUCCAGCCUUUAGCUUUCAUCCAGCCUUUAGCAUGAAGAAGACGACAUCUCCGCCUAUACACUGUCUUGCCUCAAGGCCAUCAAGAUGCUUGCCGCUCCCCACUCAUAUCCAUUGCCAUUUAAGGACAUGCAUGGGGCUCCUCCACGUUGGAGGCCCCAAGCACUGUGAACUGAACACAAUCCAUGGCCCCAAGCACUGUGAACUGAACACAACCCAUGCGUAGUUCAGAGGACAUGCACGAGGCUUGUGCCGCGAGCUGCCCUGUGUCCAACACAUGCCACGCUCUAGCCUUCCAAGAUAGAGACGACAUUGAUCGUAAUUCGUUCAAAUUAUGUUUUGCAUUAUAGCAUGAUAACAUAUGUGCAUAGCAUUGACCCGUAGCAACGUACGGGCGUAUUUGCUAUAAUCUCUACCUAAUAUUAAAGUAUGGAACAAAAUCUUCAUUCUGCCACCUUAGUUUCGACGGUCAUCCUUUGAAAAGUGGUCUAGCACCAUACAACAUGAGUUGGGAACGAAUUGAUGGCAACUUCUUAGAUGACAAGGAUCCGUAGCAACGUACGGACACUUCUGCUAGUAACUAUCAUAAGCCAAGUCGAUCCAAAAGGUUAGUACUUCACAUUCUCCUUGAUUUCAUAGUUUUCCACAUAGGAUUUUAUAAUUAUUUAUAUUUCGUACAUAUAUUAGCCAAGGAAGUCACACGUUAAUAAGUACCAUGUCAAUGUCCAACAUAUGUUUGAGCCUUGGAGGAAUUUCUGCUCAGUGGUAGCUGCGUGACAUAAUAUUUUGUUUUGUAAUCUAUGACUCAACAUGUAUAGUUUCAAUUUGCAAGUUUCUAUUGUGCAAUAGCAGAACUUAAUUAGUUGCAUGAGUGCUUAUGAGUUUCACGUAAUUUGUGCUAAUUUGGGCACGUACAUUGCUCCAUGUUGACCACCUCUAUGUCACCUCAUGAUGCAUUGCACGUAGAAUUUUAGAUGAUGUAGCGAGGGAGAAGGAGGUGAGAGCAAUAUAUAGACCAUCUACAUUAAUUAAAAUUUAGCACUAUUAGAUGGUGGAUGUGCUAUUGUACCAUAUUAAAUUUUUAUGAGGGAUGAUGCAGGAGUAUCUUCUUUCCUUCCAUGGACUCACCAUUUAAGGGAUGUGGAACUAUAGAGAGACAGCUAAAAAAUAAAAUAUCGUAGCAUUUGUCUGUUUAAGUCAUCCAUACAUUGUGUGGAGGCUAUAGGACAGCACCGUUAGAAUUGCUCCCAUUGGUAGUUAUAACAAGGGAACAUGUCUGGGGCAAACCAUCUAUCCCAUGCAACUUUGGAAACUAUGAAUUAAGGCAACAAGAUGCUAAUCCAAUGGAUAGGGUUAGUGAGAGGAUUUGUGGCCGGCAGGUGGGGGGACUUAAGUGCAAAAUAAUCAUAUCCAUUGGAUUAGCAUCCAAGGUUGCACGGGGUAGAUGGUUUGUACCAGAUACGUUUACUUAUAACAAAAGAUUAAAGACAGCACAUAUUUAUCAACCUAUAUAUAUAAACAAGCCCAUGUGAAUACACGGGUUGGCGGUUAGUACUAAUAAAUUAAAACUUGAAAACGGGACUAACAGUAAUUUGGAACUUGAAAAUGGGAAUUACCAAUGGAAGAACAAUAUGGUCAGUUUUCAGAUCGGUGAAGAUGCUUCCACUUUGCCAAAACCAAAAGAAUCUGGUCCCAGGGCCGUUGUCCACGGCCACUGGGCAUCGGCCGUGUGCUGCACUGCACUCUCUGGCUCGUCAGGAAGUGAUCUGGCAUUAAGGGAUCAAGCUGCUGGGGCUUUACAGGAUGAUGGCGUUUGUGAAUCGACGAAAUCACUGGGCAGAGCUAGCUGAACUGCUGAAGACUAGGCGAAGGUGGAGAUGAAGACAGUGGAGCUUUCAAGCAUCGUUUUACUUGACAAUUCGCCGCUGCUUUACCUGCUGCUCUGCUAUCAUGGGAUGCAUCUUGCAGAAAAAAAAGAUUAAGGAUCAAUGAAUCUAGCAGGAUAGGUUAUCUUCUGGUAUUAUUGAUCGUCUUUCCUCAUUUGUAGUUUUCUGCCAAGAGGUAGUAGUGCUAAGUGUUCUGUGACCACAGGACACUCAGUGCAGACCCCUCUUGAUCAUGUACAGGACACUCUGCAUGACGACUUCUCUAUUUGCAGUCAUCUUAUCCUUCUUGUGCAUAGCAGAGUUUCCCCUGUCAUCAUCGUCUCUCAGAUCAACCGGGGAGACGGGAGACUUGGAUCAAAUGGCAUCGUUUUGAGGGGACAGCUAGCUCCUUUGUCUAGAGGAGUUUACACGGUAAAACCAGCCACAUAGAGGGUUUUCAUGGUUGAAAACAACAUGAAAAAUCAGGGAACUUAUCCUUACCUCAUCUCCUCACCAAAACAAAAGUUUUAUACCUCUUACUACAUUAUUAUUUAUCUUGCAGUAACUCUAUCAAAACUGUUAAAAAACUUAUUUUAGAAAUAUCAAACACAAUUACAUAGGCCAUACAACCUUUUCUUUUAAUGUAGACUCUGGAACAUAGAGACAAAACCAGUUACCCUCUUAAAACUAGCACAGCCUUUAGACUCUAGACGUCGGAAAAGUGCAAAGUUAUCCUCGGUGAGUUGAGAAGGUCAGAAGGAAUGCGGGGCCGGAGAAUGGGGCAGGGAAAGUGAGGCUGGCACCAAGAAGUUGAGUAACAAAGGUGAGUUGGCAACGGUUCAUUUUGAUCAAUCCUAGGAGUUUUGAAUUUCUGGCAUAGCAUCCAGCAAGAACAAUAAUGCGAGGGCGAGUAUCCUUAGUUAUUUCGUAGAAAUUUGUUCUUGAUGUAACAUGUAGAUUCUCCUUCGCUUGUCCUUGUCAACUACUUAACUACAGAAAGCAAUGCACAGUAAAAUUCUUGACCAAUGACCCGUUUGAAAGGGUUGCCUCAUUUGUCCAGCCGGAGCUAACACGGUAAGACAAGAUAACAGCUACCACCCAGGUCCAUGGUGUACUGCUCGUCACUACAUUCGUCUAUGAGCAUCUAAGUCUUAAGUCCAAAUGAAACACUGCUACAAGCUUCUCCAGUUCACAAUGGCCAAGCUCAACCUUCUGCUUCUCACGCUACUCGUCACUCCCCUCUUCCUCACUUCCAGUUCUGAUUCGGUGCGGCCCACCGACGCCGAGCUCCGACCUCUCUUGAUCAUCAAGAGGGAUUGGGGCAACCCUACUGCACUCAGCUCAUGGAAGAACACCAGUAGCAACACCACUGCCUCUAGUCCUUUCACUCACUGCGAAUGGGCUGGGGUUACUUGCAACGACAACGGCCAAGUGACCGCCCUCUCCUUCCAAAAUUUCAACAUAUCCAAUCCAAUCCCUGCCUCCAUUUGCAGCCUCAAAAAACUAGCGUAUCUAGACCUCUCCUACAACAACCUCGCCGGCGAGUUCCCGGCGGCAGCGCUCUACGGUUGCUCGGCACUUCACUACCUCGACCUGUCCAACAAUCUCUUCUCCGGCGUCCUCCCAACUGACAUUAACGACAAACUGUCGAUGCAGAUGGAGCACCUCAACCUGUCAACCAAUGGUUUCAGCGGUAGUGUGCCGUCGGCAAUUGCCGGGUUCCCCAAGCUCAAGUCGUUGAUUCUCGACACUAAUAGCUUCAACGGGACCUAUCCGGGCUCGGCCAUCGGCAGCCUCACCGAGCUCGAGACGCUGACGCUAGCAAGCAACCCAUUUUCACCAGGGCGUAUCCCUCAUGAUUUCAGCAAGCUGAAGAAUCUAAAGAUGCUAUGGAUGUCAGGGAUGAACCUGACUGGUGUUAUACCCUACGCUCUCUCAGCGCUCACUGAGCUAACUGUGUUGGCUUUGUAUGAGAAUAAUCUUGAGGGCGAAAUUCCGGCGUUUGUUUGGAAGCUUCAGAAGCUGGAGAUCGUGUACCUUUACGCCAACAGCUUCAUGGGUGCAAUUGGGCCAGAGUUCACUGCUGUCAACAUGCAAGAGCUUGACCUAUCGGCGAACAGCCUCUCCGGAGUGAUACCGGAGACCAUCGGUAACAUGACACUGCUCUGCUUAUACAACAACUACUUCACCGGGUGGAUUCCUUCGAACAUCGGGCUGCUCCCCAACCUCGUAGACAUCCGGCUAUUCAACAACAUGCUCUUGGGCACCCUCCCGCCAGAGCUCGGGAAGCACUCGCCACUCGGCAACCUUGAAGUGAGCAACAACUCCCUCACGGCGUGCUCGGGGAAACCCUGUGCUUCAACAAGAAGCUCUACAACAUCGUGGUGUUGAACAACAACUUCUCCGGCGUGUUCCCGGCGAUCCUGGGGGCGUGCGACACACUGGACAAUAUCAUGCUGCAGAACAAUAACUUCGUCGGUGAGUUCCCGGAGAAGAUAUGGUCGGCGUUGCCCAAGCUGACCACCGUUAUGAUACAGAACAAUAACUUGACGGGCUUUCUACCUAGUGCCCUGUCCCCUAAAAUCACACGGAUUGAAAUGGGGAACAACAGAUUCUUUGGCAACAUACCAGAAUCUGCAACCGGCCUGCGUUCGUUCGAAGCAGAGAAGAAUUUGUUCUCCGGUGGGCUACCUGCGGACAUGACAAUGCUUGCCAACCUUACUGUUUUGAACCUUGCCGGGAACCAGAUUUGUGGAUCCAUACCAACAUCCAUCGGAGCCCUUGAGAGGCUUAAUUCCCUCAACCUCAGCAGCAACCAGAUAACUGGAGAGAUCCCGGCAGGAAUCGGAUUGCUCCCGGUGCUCAUCGUCCUCGAUCUCUACAACAACAAACUCAGUGGUAGCAUCCCGGAGGACUUCAACAAUAACCAUUUCUCCUUCCUGAAUCUCUCGUCUAAUCAGCUCACCGGAGAGGUGCCAACCGCACUACAGAGCCCAAAGUACAACAGCGUCUUCCUGGACAACCCUAGCUUGUGUGCGGAAUCAAACUCUGGCCUACCCCUACCCCCGUGCUCCCGUAAUUCUUGGAGAAAGAUCAUCUUGUCAGUUGCAGCUCUCUUCAGCUUCAUUGCAGUUUGUGUUGGGUGGAGCAUCUACAGGCGCAAGAAAGACCGUAAGGAUGUUACAUCGUGGAAGAUGACACCAUUUCAUGCUCUGGAUUUCACCGACCACGACAUACUCAGCAACAUCAGGGAAGAGAACUUGAUCGGCAGAGGUGGGUCAGGAAAAGUCUACCGCAUCCAUCUCGGCAGCCAGAAGGCAGCAGGGAAAGGCGCUGAUGAGGCCGGUGGCACUCAACAGUGGCCGUGAAGAAGAUUGGGAACGCUGGCAAGCCGGACGGUGAUAUCGACAAGGAGUUCGAAGCGGAGGUGGCAUCACUAGCUGGUCUCCGUCAUGGCAACAUCAUCAACCUCCUCUGCUGCAUCUCCAGCGACGACACGAAGCUGCUCAUCUACGAGUACAUGGAGAAUGGGAGCCUGGACAGGUGGCUGCACCGGCGCCGCCGCAAGAUUGGGCCGCCGCUGGGCUGGCCCACCAGGCUGAGCAUCGCCAUGGACGUCACCAGGGGCCUCAGCUACAUGCACCAUGGCUUCACGAGGCCGGUCAUCCACCGUGACGUCAAGUGCAGCAACAUCUUGCUGGAUCGCGAGUUUAGAGCCAAGAUCGCCGACUUCGGGCUCGCCAGGAUCCUUGCCAGGGCCGGCGAGUCGGAGCCGACGUCGAGCGUCUGCGGAACAUUCGGUUACAUUGCUCCAGGUCGUAGCAUCUUUAGUUCCACACGACCAGAACGUUGAUGAGAAGUUUUCUAUGUUGUGAACACACAACCAUGAGCUUAUAACACGCCUGGACUUUGUGUUUGGGUGCAGAGUACGUGAGCAGGGCGAAGGUAAGCGAGAAGGUGGACGUGUACAGCUUCGGCGUGGUGCUGCUGGAGCUCGCCACCGGGGGGGGGGGGGGGGGGGGGGCAUAGGACGGCGGCACGGAGUCCGGCAGCUGCCUGGCAAAAUGGGCGUCGAAGAGGUGCGGGAACAGCAGCCCAUGCGUGGACCUGAUCGACGGCGAGAUCCGGGACCCGGCCUACCUGGACGACAUGGUGGCCGUGUUCGAGCUCGGGGUCGUCUGCACCGGUGAGGACCCGUCGUCGAGGCCGCCGAUGAACGAGGUCCUCAACCGGCUCAUCCAGUGUGGCCGGAGUCAGAUGACCCUUGAUGAUGACGACCACUAUGCCAAAGACUUGUGUGGCGAUGAUUCUUUUGAGUUUAUGGUAUGACGUGGCCUUGUGCUCAGGUACAGUAGCAAUCAGAGGCACCUCAGGCCUUGCAAAUUGCAAUCGCUAUCCAGCUUAUUCGUUACGUACCAUGAAUUCUCAGGUCAUCAGUCUAAGACGUCAAACCUUUGUUCCGGACCUCUCGGGUCCAGUGAGUGGAAGCUUGAAAAGCGAUGAUGUUGCCUCCAAAUCUCCAAUCAAACUACAAAUGCGAUCUCCUUCAGUCUACCCAUGUAAUAAGUAUGUUUUGAGGGUAAAUAUUCAGUGCAAAUCCACCCUCCAGUGCAAUCGUCAAAACCUGAAUUCCAUCCAUUAGAUAUGAAACAUGCGGUCCAGAUAAGAGAUCCUGAAAACACAACAUGCUUUUACAAUCAACCCUCGCGAUCCAUAUGGGACAUUUAGUAGUGACAUCCUGUUUAAUGUUACAUUUGCACAAAAAUCCCUCCUCUGUCUUCUCCUCCACACCUCUUUGUCUUCUCCUCCACUCCUCCCAAUUCGUAGUAGGUGGCAUACAAUAUUUGCAACUUGGAGUGUAGACGGAUUGUAACUCAAACGAUUGGCUAGAUGCAACUCCAGUUACAAAACUGUGGGGAUGGUAUUUAUUGAACUGAGCUAGGAAUGUCCCAAUUUAAUGCGAGACAGGUAAUAUGUGUCCUACAGUAUUUGCAACUUGGAGUGUAGACCGAUUGCAACUUGAACCAUUGGCUGGAUACGACUCUAGUUACAACUACGGGCGUAGAAUUUAUUGCACUGAGUUAGGAAUGUCCCAAUUUAAUGCGAUGAGGGGUAGUAGGUGGCCUGUAGUAUUUUGCAACUCGGUGUAUAGACCGGUUGCAACUUGAACAAUUAUUUGGAUACAACUUCAGUUGCAACUGCGGAUGGUAUUUAUUGCACCGAGUUAGAAAUAUCCCUUUUCACACUAGAACGGCUUGGGUGUUAAAUGCGAAAUGUUCCAUGUGGUGGUGGGGGGUUAGAUGCAAAUUUUGCUGCAGGUCUUGGGAGGCUCAUUCGGACCGCAUAUUUUAGAACGGAUGGUCUACAGCUGGGUUUCCACAAUUGCACUUGGGGGUAGGUUUGCCUGAAUAUUUACCCAUAUUUUGAUAGGAGAAGAAUCUUUCAAAUUAAGUUUUGACCAUUAAUUUCUUUUAUUGAAGUAUAUUAUCACUUACUAAAAACACAAGUCUGUCUCCGAAUUACUAUGAGUACAAACUUGUUGGUCCAAUUUUUAGACAGACAUGCAUAUAAUUUGAUUAACUGUUGGUCCAAACUUAUGAUUUGAAUUUCUUUAUUUUUUUCAGAGUCAAGACACGUCUUGCAUUGACAAAAUGAACAACUACAUGUGACGUUGAAUUGUCAAGAACUCGACGUAAUAAUAGCAUUAUCGUUGCAAGAAAUGAGUAUCUGUUACAAAUCUCACUCACUAGUCACUACUGCACAAAAUUCUAAUCCCGCCACUGCUUUGGUCUCUUCUUCGUUCUUCUCCCCGUCGCGGCCCGUGUUCUCACGAUCCACAACACAAACUGCCCGGCGCAGCCCGUUUACAGACCCGUGGUUGAACACUUGAACUUCACUGAACCCCAUGGAAGCCGGAAGUAAAAACUGAGCCAGGUAAGUUGAGCAACCUUUUUUUGAGAGGUAAGUUGAGCAACCUUAAAGAAAAAAGAUGCAUCGAUCCAAGUCAAAAAAAAAAAAGCACUGCUUCGGAGGUGUGCCUGCGCGCGCGCGCGUGCGCCGGCCCGAAGCAGGCGUUUUGAAUUUGACUGAAAGCGGCAGAGUACGUACGCAAGUUGCAGCCAGAAAAAAUUGCCAAGUGGUGUAGCGCUUUCUUCCCGUUUUGGAAGUUGUGGAGUGUUGUUGCCGGAAUGUGGACUACUGCUCCAUCGUCUCUACUUGCUCGCGAUGUUUCUCGAUCGUGUAACAAGUUUUGUAAACUAUCCAUGUGUACUCACCCUUAUAACACUCAUUAUAUACGCACAUACGUAAAACACAACAAGAGGCUGAGUUGUACUAUAUAUGAAAACGGCAAGCACAUAGCACAUGCUUGGUUGCUGGCCUUCAGUAGCCACGCGUCACAGAUGUGGCGUCAAAUACAACUGCGAAAUGCUGUGGCAGCAAAGGUAAGUAAACAACCAAGUAGGGGCUUCGAUUAGCGUGGCUGCCAAUCAAACACUCAAGCUCAUGGCGCCCUGCUAACUCAGAGAUUUGACUUUUUUAGAUCAAUUGAACUCGGAUGGCACACAAGUUACAAUUUAUAAUGAAUCUUCCUUCAUUAUUACUUCCGAUUUUUCACUAUAUUAACUCAAUGUAAUCUUUGAGUUCGAGCCCUAUAAAGUAUUGAUGCUCCAAGUAUUACUGAUAUGUAGCUGUCCAUUAGUAAAGAAUAACAUCAGGCUCAAUUGAUUGAUAAUCUAUCUGUUUGAGAUUGUAGAUCAUUUUGGAUUUUUUAAUACAUAUAUAAUUAUUGCUAUGCAUAUAGAUGUAGGUUAUGUCUAAAUACAUAGCAAAAUCUAUGUAUUUAAAAUAGCAAAAUAACCUACAUUUUAUAAUGAAGGGAGUACAUAUUAUAGGAUUGGCGAACCUAAGCAUUUAUACCACGGGACUAUAAAAAUGGGUGUUCGUUAGGAAAACGAAAAUGGUUUGUGUGGAGUAUAAUCUUAGUAUUGAUUUAUUCUUUUUAAACAAAGAUAUCGAGAGCUUUGUCACACAUAUAUUAAUAAAAAGAGGAGAAGAGACAUCGGCCUACUAGCUAGCCUCACCUGAAUUUUAUAUCCUUAAAUCUUUAUCAAUAUCUUAUUAAGAACUCUCAUUCCUCCUACCUCUAGUCGUUCAUCUGUCAUACUGCCCGAGUAGUAAUUAACGGAGUUGCAUGUAUCGACCAGUUCGACUUAAAAUCUUAAAUUAACAAGCACCAAUGCUUCCUCUUUUUAUCGGCCUCCGGAGACGGCUCUCAUGACCGCUCUAUGCCGUCAAGCUAGCCCAUGCAUUAGAGCGAGUUUCUUCGCUUCAACCCCCCUCACUGGCCACCCCGUGCCACCCAGCUGCUCAGCACCGUGACAGCUAUUCUUAUCCUGAUCUUGUUUUUUCUUUCUCAACACAAGAAAACUGAAGCUUGUAAGUUGACUCAUGACCUGUACGUACUGUACGUAGCACGCCGGUGCCUUGAUGGCUUGAUCCAAGUCAAAAUUUUACAUCUGGUUGCAGCAGAUUUUUUUUAGGAUCAUCUGGUUGGAGCAACUUGCACACAGAUCUCUACAGUGCCAAUAUGGCAAUAUACUACACAUUGCCGGUCCAGGGUGCAGAGCCCAACCAUGUUGCUCCUGCAAGUUGCAGCUGGAUAAACAUUACACGUUUUGCUCUGUUGGACUGAUCGUUUGUAAACUGUUGAACAGAUUCACAGAGCCCAACCACGUUAAAAGAUGCUCUUUUUUUUUAAAAAAAUAGAAUUUGAAUCAAGGCAUGUUGAAUGUUGUGAAGCAUCAAGUUGUGCAGCAUCCCUUCUGGAAUUUGGGCUACUAGUUCCUUUGUCUCUUCUCUGUUGCAAUUUUUAUCACAGAUCUGGAAGGAUUAAUUUUGUUUUGUUUGAGCAAGUACAAAUGCAGGGAAACUGGCUCUACUUGCUUCCUCAUUGCCCUCUCAGUUUCACAGUAUUGUCCUAGUCCACAUAAAAGUCACACACUCACACUACAAUUUGAACGAUUUUUUGAACUAAAUUUGAACGAAUUUCGUUGAUUGAAAAGUACAAACGCACUGCAAAGUGGCCGCCAUGCUUGCUUCCUUAAUACCCAAGAGAGUUCUUUACAACUCGCACAUCAAAGCGAGUAGCUACGUAUAGGAUCACUUGAAAAAGCAAAAAUAGGGCUCGUGGUCUGCUAACCCACAUGCCAAUGGGAUAAACAACUCUUGCAACAGAUCAGCUCCAGUUCAUUGGUUUCAACUCUUAAGUCUCAACUCCCACCUGCAUGCACUAUUCUCAAAUCCUUCCAUUCAGACCGUUGCCUGUUUUUUAUCGCAGAUUCUUCUCGGUGCCAUGUUCACUACAAAGACAGUUGUUGGCACUAUUCUAUUUGUUUACAGCUAGAAAUGGAACUUACAUGCCUGUGUUAGUAUGAUUUCACACACAGCCCCAUCCAUCUCCGAACAACGAUGCACACCAUGUUCAGACAAAAUGUGCAGUAUAAGAAUCGCAAAACCGGCACAUCUUUAAUCAGAGAAUCAGAAGCUGCUCAAGCAGACAGUCUGUAUCACAUUUCCGGGACACAAUAUACAUGAUCAUGUGUGCGUUACAUUUUUCAUAUUUAUACCCUCUGACAAAUCAAGAAAUGAGGCCUUUGACAGCCCCCCUAUCCCACCUUUGUACCCCCACCGCAAUGAAUUCAAUCAAAUGGAGAUGUACAUGUAUGCAAACAUUGGAACUGUAUGGAAGAACUACUUUCCCCGCUCCAUUUCUUCAGUGCGCUACUUUGAUACACUCUACAACAGGAGUGACGUGCUCACGAUGACUGGAUGAUUGGUUGGUCUGCGAAAGGGCCAUAUAGCCAGCCUUUGGCGAUAUGGCGGUAGGCUGCCUCUGUCAAGUGAAUGCCAUCCCAGCUCCAGUGGGUUGUCGGAUCAGCACAAGCAGUCGCACCAGGCUCACCACAUUUGGCCGUGACAUUGAAGUUGUAAGCAGCUCUCUCAGGAGUCGAUGGAGCCCCACAACACGCCCUAGGCAGUUGCUUGGCAAAACCUGUACGAAAAAAAGUCAUUAGGUCCCUGCGUAGAUGUGCAUUGAAAUCAAAGGAUUAAUGCUUGAAGCAAAGGUGUCUUCUGUUUUAAUCGACAAUAACAUCUGCCUCCUUUUUCUCUAGUAGUUGAGACAGGAAAACUGUCUCUGUCAGCACAUUCAUGCUAACUAAAGUAGUCCCCUAUAGGGCAACAAUGAAAUGGAAGUUCAAUAAAUCAGGUACAGGUGAUCUAGAGAUGACACAGACAUGGCAUCGUUCUAGAUCCUGAUGGUUGCUAUCCUCCUUUUUCCUGUUAUUUUAUUUUUUUAAUUAAAAAACUACAAGGGUAAAGCAAAAUGGAGGUUCGUUGUCAGCAAGGAAAGAAAGCAACACCUACAAACAAAAGUGAUCACCCAAAACGAUGGCUCAGCUAACUGAGCAAUUUCUAGAUGUUUGUACUUGCCGCAACAAGGACUUGUUAAAUUUGUAGUUCAGCUAUGCUUAGAAAGCGGAGCAGCAAAAGUAAGCACACUAGGUGUUCACCAUUUUAUUUAAUUGCAGCAGUGCAUAGAUACUUUUGACGUUAUCAAAUGUCUAUCUUAACAACAUGAUAAGUAAAAAUUUCCAAUGAGAUUUUAAUACCAAAAGGCUGUGGCUUCCAUUCAUAGAAUAUGCAUGCUUCUCGUAGUAGCUAGUGCAGCUCAUAAAACAACAUUGUAAAAGUAUCAGUGGUAAAACGAUCAUGCGAAAAGGAACAAGGUUGCCAUGACCAUGAAUUUUAACCAAAUAAGAGAGCCACUACAGUGUAAGUUCUCAUCCAUAGUUAGACUGUCUUAAGGAAAAUGUUGGGUCCUGGUACAUAUAGUGUAACCCAUAGGCAAAACAUCCUCCUGCAAGCCCCAAAUGACCCAUUCUGAUGGAAUCUCAUUUUCAUUGAAAAGGCCUCCGCUGACAACUAUUAAUGGGAAGCACUCAAAAGCUCAAACAAAAAGUGUACUAAUAGUAUUGGUAGCUUAUAGCCCCUUUACAGACUAGAUACAGGUUUCUAAUGAGCAAGGUGUGAGCACCUUUGCUUUCAAGAUACUCUGACUAUUAAGCUGGUCUGACUGAUUUUGAACCCAGGUUGUACUGACCAUUCAAAACAUCAUUUGUAUAUUGUGCAAUCUGCUACUAGAGAAGGUUACAGGCAUCUAUAUCGAGAUCCAAACCAUCUAAGUAUAAUAUGUUGUGUCUUCCAAGGUGAGCAGUAGGAAAUAGUUAACUCAACACCUAAGCAUCUAAGCAAAAAGUAAGCAUAAACGAGAUCAAGAAUUUAAGAACUCACCAAACUUCUCAGGCCGAAGCAUGAACUGGAUAACUGGUGUGUAGUAAUCACCAUAUAUGAUUCUCACAUUGGGGUGCUUAGCCCGGAGCUUCUCAAGCAUGGCCUUGAGAUGUGCAUUGUGCACCCAGGAGAAUGUGUUGAACCGGCGGACGCACCCGCUGCGUUCACCAUAUCCAUCUUUUGGCUCAUCAAGCAUGUUCAAGUACACCGGGAAGCAGCCGGUGGGCAUGACACCAGGCACAAUCAGAUCCACCGCCCCCUCGGCAAUUAGUGCCUGCACCACACACAAACAAUUGCAGUCGGAACCACUUUCCCUCACAAUCAACAUUGAACAAUACACAGCAAAUGGAAGCGAGCUCUACCUCAAUACCGUCGGAGAUGCCCUGGAUGACAUCUGGCAUGAACUUGUAGGCCUCCGUGAUGCCCUUCCCUGCAAAGAGGGGUGCAUUGUAGUCGUUGCCGCCGAACUCACCGACCACGAACAGUGCCUUGGCAAAAAACUUCUUGCAUUCUGCACAAAGGGAAGCAUCAAUCAAACCGAGAUUCACAGGAAAUUUCUUAAUUCCUCACAUCACGCAUCACAGGCGGUACAGCUAAGCUACAAAAGGUGAGAUUUUUAGACUUCCUUACCCUGGGUGGAGUUGCAGAAGAAAGGCUUGAGCUCGCGGAACCACUCGAUUUGGGUCAUGAGCGCGCCGGAGUUCCAGAUGACGUCGCCGAGCCCCUUGGCGACGAAGUAAGGAGUGUCGAGCGCGGUGGCGCCGGUGAUGGCGAAGUUGGCGCCGUGCGCGAAGCUGGCGUUCUUGGCCUUGGACGGCGGCAGCAGCGGCAGGCCGAACUCUUGCGCUGCAGGUAAGCAAAGCCCAAGGAAACCCGUCAGCCAAACCAAAUCUGGGAGGAACCCCCGAACCCGAGGCAACCCGAGAAGCAGGCCGUACCGAGGUGGUCGAUGACGAGGCGGCCGUCGGAGCAGCGGCCGGUGGCCUUGCCGAAGUAGGUCUGGCCGUAGGGCAGGCGCGCGGUGGCGAGGAAUUCCGGCGUGCCGUUCUGGAUGAGGUUGCCGGCGUCCGCCAGCGAGUCCCCGAAGUUGAAGAGCGCGUGGUACAUCCCCUUGGCCGCCGCCUCCCUGGAUUCCGCCGCGGCGCCGGCCGCCGCCGCCGCAAGAACCGCCGCCACCACCGCGAGCAUCGCGCCCCUUCUCCCCAUCGCCGCCCGGGUCCUGGGGCUCCCCUAGGCUCCUGGAUCUCCGGCGGACGGAACGGAACGGGGAAGGUGGUGGAGAUGGAGUCGAGGAGGGGGGAGCAGCGGGGUGGGAGCUAGGUAGCUAUCGGCGGUCGGGUGGGGGCUUCUUGUAGGAGAGGCGGGCGAGGAGGAGGAAAAGGGAGGGGUUGGUGGUGGUGGUGGCUGCCGCGGCGUUUUCUUGGGCGCCUGGCUUCCUCCCUCUCUCUGUGCUGGGGCUCUGCGUGUGGUGGCGUGGCUCACUCGGAGUUUGGCGGAUUAAUUUAGUUAGGCGUGGGGAGUUAUUGUGGAGGUGUGGGAAAUGGAAAUGUGGGGGGAGAUUGGAGAAGAAGCGAGGAGGAAGGUGACGGAUGGAUGAAUGGGGAAGGAAGAAGAGGGGGUGGGGUGGUCCGUCGGUCGAGGAACAGCUAGCGGAACGUGAGCAGAUUGGGGUAGUUUCGUAAGGAAAAAAGUGGACUACACGGUUUGACUUUGAGAGAGGUCCAUUUUCCGGCCUAAAAUCUAAAUGCGUUGGACUUGGAGCGGCAACCUAACCGGACAAGGAAACAGCAGCCACCGUUUAGCAUGCGUAGGGCUUAUCUGGGAAUGCAGCAAUUUAUAACAGAGAAAAGAAAUAGGAAUGGAAAAGAAAAACACAAUGGCAAUAAAAGCAUACAAAAAUAGUGGCAAAAUAUAUUAUUAAGAUAUAAGAAAAACACGAGAUAUUGUGUCCGGAAAGCAUGCAUUGGGAAUUCGAGGAUAAGAAAUAUAAUAUUGGAUUAUUAGUAGAAGAAAAUACUAGAGGAAACCGGAAAGAAUAUGUCUAUUCGAAGUCGCUACGCAAGCUAGCUAGUUAAAACUAAAAGCUAACUAGAGCUCCCUCAGAAAUUGAUGAUAAUACUAUAUUAUUAUGGAAUUCAUAGUUUUCUUGUCCAUUAUUUAUGUUUCCUUCGUUGCCUCAUGGAAACCCUUGAAAUGGUUGGUAUGCAGAUCUGGGGCCUGCUUCAUUUAUACUACAUCUGUAUUUUUACCACAUAAUUUCAUCCUUUGGUCAGUGAGUUGGUUGUAUUGGUUUUUGUUCUUUUAUUUUAGUUUCUUAUUCUAAUAAAAAUUUGGUAAAUCUCUUGCUGUCGGUUAAAAAAACCCAAUCCUUUCUUCAUAAACUUCGAGACUUUUUUUAAUGUUUAUUAGACUGCAUAUAAGUAAUGACAUGAAAUUCUAUUUUACAAAUUGAUCUAUUUUCUCCGUUCCAAAAUAUAGCUAGGUUUAGAUUUAUCUUAAGUCAAACAUUUACAACUUUGAACAAUAAUAUCUCUAAAAAUAAUUUAUUUCAAAAAAUAGGAAAAGUUAUACUGCAUCCAUCCCAAAUUAUAGGUCGUUUUGACUUUUUUAGGUGCAUAUUGCUAUGCACCUAGAUAUAAUAUAUGUCUAGAUGCAUAAUAAUAUCUAUGAACCUAGAAAAUUCAAAACGACCUAUAUAAUUUGAAAAGGGGGAGUAUAUUAUUGGUUGAUUUCAUAAUGAAUUUACUAACAUCAGUUUAUGUUGUCAAUCUUUACGAAAUUUUUGGUAUUCGUAGGCAAAGUUGAAAAGGUUUGACUUAUGAUAAAACUAAACGUAGUUAUAUUUUUGAACAGAGGGAGUAUUUACUCUACUAGCAUGGAGAAUGAUGAUUAUGAUUUAGGUUUGGUAGUUGUUGGAGUGCUAAUGAAGUGAAAAAUGGGAAGGAGGGUGGAUUCGUAUCGAGUGAGAGUGGCUAGCUAGCAAGUGAGGCUUCGGUGAAUCGACUAAUAGGUGAGAGACACGUGUGGGUGUGGAGGUGUGAAAAUGAAGGGAAAUGGUGGAAAUGAAGGGGGCAUGGUGGUACAUUGAUGGGGUGAUCCCAUCCAAUCAAACAUACUCUAGUUGUGAAAGAGUAAAAGAGACAAGAGGCUUCCAUGGAUCAAACAACCUUAGAGAGUCACUGACUUAUUAAGCGAUACAAGAUACCUGGUUGAUAGUUCUGGUCGAUAGACCAAUCCAUUAUCGAGUUCGGUUGCAUUGUAUUUGGCCAACACGUUAUAAUUGGUCAAGGUGCUCUGGUAACAUUACACUUCGUUGUUACAUUAGUCUGACAAAUAACUUGUGCUUUCUGUUUCUCACUGAAAAGUAACACUGACCACAACACUAUUUUUGUUUGCAAGGGUCAAGUCUAAUCAUAUUCAGUACUAGCCGGAAAAAAAAAGGAUACAAACACAACGUGCUACCAAACACGAAAACAACAGUUUCUUUUUAAAAACGAAAAGGAACCAAAGCUACUACAAAAAACAGUGACAGUUCAUGAAUAAAUUUUUUAAAACAAACAAGACUAGAAGAGUCAAGAGCAAGUUUUGUCGGUUGAAAUUUUUUUGGUGAGGCGAUUCUUUCCCAGCUAUCAUCCCACUCUCUCUACCAUAACAUGGGCCAGGCCACCGAGUCAGCAGCCACAGUACACUACCAAAAGAAUUAGUCCCAUGUGAAAGAUUAUUUUUCAUGUAAUCCGAGCGUCCAAAUCCUUCACAAAAUCAAUGAGUAGUAGGGGUUUGGUGAGGGGUCAGCAGCCAGCACCGAACCCGUCCAAACCGAGUUGGUCCAACCAUAAAAAAGCCCCCGGAGAGUCAGUGGAGUGGUUUUUCUUCCUCCCAGAACAUUGUUGUCAGGUCGUUAGCAAAUGCACGUCGAGUUUCCUUUUCUUUUCUUUUUUGCCCAAUUGGUGCUUCCAUGUGCAGCGCUUGUUUCUUUUUCGUUUUUUCAAGAUAAAUAAAGCUAGUACAAAGCCUAAUCUAGUAGUCAUAAUAAUGGUAUUACACAACAGCGGCGUGGUCAAAUGAUUGAGGCAUGGAGCAUGGCGGCUAAGGCAAAUGCAUGAAUUUAAAAAAUGAUAUGGCAAACUGAGACCGCAACCUUUUGGGAAACUCAACAUGUUGAUACAUGGCCAUCGUAUCCUCUAUUAUGUGGCACAUGGAUGGAAGGGGAACUUUGGAGUCUUUGGUAGCUAGCUUGGAAAGUUUCUCGGAUUUUGCUUCUGUUCUAGUGUGUUUUGAAAGUGGAGCUCGAUCUCUCUCUACAAACAUAAAAUAAAAUAGAUCAACCUAAAAGAAACUAGACGAUUUUUUAUUAAGAAAAAGAAAUAAUCAUCUAAAUUCGAGCAAGAGGGGACUCGGACCUGGAUGGUUAGAGUGCACAAUCAUACCUCCCAUCCUAACCACCCUAACCUGGAUGGUAGGAAGAUAGGAAAAAUUUGAUGGCGAAUCAAUCCAUAGUAAGUGGGAAUUGGGUCACAAUCUUUAGGCUCUCUUUUAAAUGGAGGGAAAACAGAGGAAUUUGCAAAGAUUCAAUUGUCAUAGAAAAUUUUUCCAACAAAAGAAUUUGGAGCGACGGAUUGAAUCCAUCCUACAAAGUGCUUUUUUAAAAAAAAGAAUGUGCUUUGAAAUUCUUAUGCAAUGGACUCUUCGAUGGGAGGGCGGUGUUCCGUGUUAUACGGGAAGGCGAGCCCCAGCUCCUUGCUACUGGGCAAGAAUCCGCACCGCAAAUCCAGAGUACAUGUGCAGACCUAUCCACACCUUUGGACGGUUCUGCGUCAUUUGCCUGCACAUUUUUUUUCCUUUCGCAUCAUAAUUCCCGGCCCCGUUAACAGGUCACCAGAAGCUUCCUGCUUCCCCGCAGAAUCCAAGGCCAUGUGACAAGCUAGCAUCUCCCGAUGCUCGCAAAAUGCAGCAGGGCAGCGCACCUGGCUCGGAUCGGAUGUUUGAAUACCAAUUAUAAGUAUUAAACAUGAGUAAAUAGUAAAAAUAAUUAUAUAAAUGAGAACUAAUUCGCGAGAUAAAUCUAUUAAACAUAAUUAAUCCAUGAUUAGCACACAUGAUGCUAUAGUAACCAUGUGUUCCUCAUGGGUUAAUUAGGGUUAAUAAAUUCCUCUCGUGAAUUAACCCUCAUUUCUGCAAUUAUUUUUAUCAUUAAUCUAUGUUUAAUACUUCUGCAAUUAUUUUUAUCAUUAAUCUAUGUUUAAUACUUCUAAUUAGUAUCGAACAUCCGAUGGACGAAUCGGGCUGGUUUUGGCUUGGAGCCUCGGACCGAAAUAGAGCCUUGUCCCCAGCCUCUAAAGAGACCUUAAAAUACAGGGAGAGCUACCUGCACUCUUCCUAAGAUCAACCACCUGCCAUCUUGGGCAGUUGGGCUUGGCAGCUGCAGGCUGCAGCCCAGCCUUUACGCAUAUUCAUCACACCAGAUGACCAAACAGUUCCUGCACACGCAAGUCGCCAGCCACCUCCUCGACGAACCAAAAGCAACAGCACAAGGGCGCAGGAGAAUAUUAUCGGAAGGACGGGUAGCCAUCACAAACGAAUCCGAUUCAUAGGGCACCAACAGGUCAUCAUGACCAGGGAUAGGAAGCCACUCGGCUACCCAACCAAAAAGCUGAACCAUCAUCACACAUCAUCUUCCAAGCAAAACACUCAUCACUCCGGAGCAUAAAACUGGACCAUGAUGCCAACAUCAAGUGCAUCAACAUAAAAUCAACCGGGAUAAGAUACCGAAAUCACAGCACGUCAAUCAGAUGAACUAGGCGCUGAACAUUACCUGGUAUUGUACAGAAGAUGGCGGCAGCGAAAAAGGCGAACAGGGUGGCAAUAUGGCUUGUCAUCUUUUUUUUUUCCAGUUCACAAAGGAAGAAAACAAUGGCUUGUCAAUGCAUACAGCAAUCACAAUCCUACAUACUGCAAUCGACACAGCUAAACACGAUUAAUGUACAGUCUACUGAGCCAACCAGGGGGCUCCUAGCAACAACACUGUGUACAGAGACAAGGAGUGUCAGCAACAAGCCCAGUCUUAUUAGGCGGUACACCCCGAAACCUACAAGUUACUGCCUUCAGCGGGUGAAUCCAGAUACAAUGCUACUUAAAAUACAGGGGGUUUUCCUAAGCCAGACAAGGUAAACAUGUACAAUCUUACGGAGCCAUUGUCAUGUCAAAUACAAUUAGACAGUUACUGUCUACUCCAACUUCUGAACCUGCAAACCAAAACAAGGUAAACCACAUUACAAUAGGAAUGACCUCAGGAAAUUAGUAAAAACAUUGCACAAAAAAGCUAAAUAGAUCAUGUGAGGAAAAAAAAUCAUUGCAUAGAACAUUAGCAAUGAUCCAACGAUCCACCCUGUAAAAUGUACAAGAAAAUGACAGGGUGAACUUUGUUCCAUUACAGCAUUGGCCCUGAAAACAUCUAUAUUCGUAGUCCACCUCUGGAGACACAAUAUAUGGGUUGAGACAAACUGUCAAGAUGUUGACACGAAAUGUUAAGAUGUGCAAGCACUUGCUCGGGUCUAUGAUAGACAACAAUUGACAUAUCUGUAUGGAGUCACCCAGCUAUCCCAGAAAAGAUUUAGAUCCUCAAAUUGCUUAUGACAAUAAUAAUGUUAUGCAUUUCUAUUACACUAUGUAAGAAAUGAUGACAUCAACUACACAAACAUCCAAAUAUGUUUUGCUGAGAAAAACUGCUUAUUCCAUCUCCAUAAACGACAAGCUAUCCAUGGAAACAUACAUCUUAUUCAAAUCACAAUGUUGACACUUUAGACCCAACAUGGCUAGCAGGUGUGCUUAUCUUAUUUGGCACUAGAAGGGAUCAGCCAUCUCCAAGUUAAUUUGGCUAGUUUUGCGAUUGAUGCGAUGUGUUGUGCAAGGGAUCUAAGAGCAACUCCAACAGAUUGAGAAUCCCCUUUCCCUUUAUUUCUGGUAUAGGGGAAUCCCCUUUCACAAUUUGAUGAUACUGGGGAGAGGUACUCCAGCAGAUCUCCUUUCCCCUUACCCUUUCUAUCUCCUCUGACAUGUGGGGCCCACCCAUCAGUGGGUCAAUUGUUUCUUCUUGCUUCUCCCUCUUUCCCGUGCGUAGAAGGGCCGGUUGCCGUGGAUGCCUAGCAACGAGGGUUGAGCAGCGCCCCCAGCAGCAUGCGUGAUGAUGCGUGGUGGUGGCCCUUAGCCAGCGCGUCCUCCAUUUGCUGCCCGUCUUAGCAGCCCCGGCGAUUGAGGGAGGGGGUCGGCAGGCUGGCGAGCCAAGGCAGGGAGGGAGAAGCCAUGGCGGGGCGCAAUAGGGUGGGGCGGCGGCCCAGCCCGCCAGCGCGGCGGGAUGCCGACAUGCAGGACGGGGCAGCUGGCGCGAGGGACGGCACGGACAUCUCACGGCGGGAUGUGAUGGCGGCGGGGGGCUGCCCAGUGGCGGCACGGGGCUGGCCCGGUGACGGCGCGGGAGGGUGCUUGGUGGUGGCGCGGGGAUGGCUUCGGCGGUGGCUCGUCGGCUGCCGCGUUCCGCGCGGAGGCCGGGCGAGAAGAGGAUUCGCAUGGGCAAGAGAUGACAUGCAGGGAGAAAAAAGAGGAAAGGGGAGAGGGUGUUGAGUCCCCUUUCUAAAGGGGAUUGGGAGAUGAUUUUGCUCAAUUGAGAAAAAAUUAUAGGGAAAGGGGAUUGUUUUCUCAAUCUGUUGGAGAGGGUUUUUUCUCUCCCAAUCCCCUUUAUGUCAGAUUAUAGGGAAAGGGGAUUGGUUUUCUCAAUCUGUUGGAGUUGCUCUAAUUACUACCUACUUGGCGGAAUCUUUGUCAACUGCACUAGGGUUUUGAAGCUAUGACACCCCCCCCCCCCAACACACACACAGAAAAGGCUAGCAAAUAAAAAAAUUACAAAGAGAUCGUUUUUGGAAAUGUCACCAUAAUAUCAAACAGAACCUUAGUGGGCCAUCCUUGCAAAAUAGGCUCAGCCAUCACAAAGAGUGUAUAUCCCACAAAAAGAAGGGAUCUGAAAGGUCCAUUUUUGUUAAAGCAAAUCAUGUUGCUCAAUUCCUGAAAACAGGAAGAACCUCUCCUACAGAUGUCUCAAGUCCCAAACAAAGAACAGUCACAAAAAUCCAUUUGCCAAGAAAUUUCCUUACAACAACUAAAUUAAGCAAGUUUUCACUUCUGAAAGAUUUUAUUUAAGAAAAAUACACAAACCAAAAGUGCUCUGUUACACAGUAUAAUUGGUAACAUCCCAUAACAUAUUUUGUCCCUUAAACACAGUGCAUUUGCCCAUCCAGCAAGGUAUACUAUGACCGCAUCCUAAAAAAUAAAUUAAUACCUUCUGUAAAAGCAUACAAAAGAUGUCUAAACUCUAAGGUAAUGCCAGCUCAGAGGCUUAGCCUGAUAUCAGCUACUUCGAAUAAAAAGAGCCACUGGAUGGUUCUCUAGAAUGAGGAUGAUGCAGCUGCUUACAUGUGUUUAUCGUUUAUUAAUCUAAUAUAAUAAGAGUCAACUGUUUUGUGCCUACUGCCAGGGUUAUGGGUAAGGGGAUACACUAACUCAAUGAUCUGUGGGUGAGGAGGCUCUUGAUCUUGCUGUCAAUACAAAGUUCUAAGCCAAGCCUACAAGAAACUAAUACAGGCUGGGAUGGAAUCCAUGGAUGUAUUCGGUAGGUAUGAUAAUGGCAACAGAGCAAAGCUUUGCUAACAACAGGUAAAACAGGGAAACAACGCAAAACGUAACGCUUGAGACCACGUGGUGCAACAAUGUUGCCAUAAAUAUGACAAAUUACCAAUAAGGCAUGCAUAUACCACUGGUCUUGAAAAAAAGGGAUGCAUCUGCCACGUUGGCCACAACACAAUAACACAGCCUGGCUACUGGCUAGUAGCGCCAACUGCCAAGAGGGCAACCAUGGUGCUUGCUCCCAUGCUAUGACCAUAAAAUAAUCCCCAGCUUCUGUGCCAGGCUUAUCAACUUUAGCAAGAAGCCUGCUAAAUUGAACACUAACUUUCAAGCAUUGUCUUGAAACUAGUGGAAUGGAACCCAAAAUUCAUGGGCAAGACCUUACAGCCAAGGAUAUCAUUCAUCAUUCAUAAGUCAGUCACAUUGGCCUUUAUGGUGUACAAGGCUGAGGCUAUAUGUGAACAAACAGGGUAUCAUGGGCAGUCAGCUGGGUCUUAUGAACGGAUCUGCGGUAUGGCAGGCCCAUUAGGGUUAAGGGUCAAGAUGGGAUUGGAUAUCUUGCUUAGGCGCAAAUAUCUAUAUAAAGAGAGAACGAGAUGUAUCAAUCAAAGGUAAGCAAGAAGUAAAUCAAUCUAUUAUCCCAAUCCCCUUCUCUUACCCCUGCCCUUGUGGUGCGGCUGCCGCCUCCGGUGAGGACAAGUAAAUGGCAGUCGCACAAGGGCAGGGGUAAGGGAAGGCACUUGGGAUAAUAGAUUGAUUUACUUCUUGCUUGCCUGUGAUUGAUGCAUCUCCUCUCUUUAUAUAAAGAUGCUUAAUUGAGCCUAAGCAAGAUAUCCUUUCAUAUCUCUACCCUUACCCUAAUGGGCCUGCAAUACCAGUGAUCUGCCCAUAAGGCCAGCCAACUGCCCAUGAGGCCAUGACACAGGGGUAGAUGUAAAAGAUAACGAAGCGUCUGAAACAGUUUCCUAUUCCAUUGCUUGGCCAUGAAAAUACGGAUCACCAUCUAACAAAGUGGCCCUCAACAAUUAAGGAAACUAACUUCGAGAAAACCUAACAAACAUAAACUAUCUUUUUAGGAACUUUUUCUGAAUCAGGUGAACUGAAUAAAUGAGCUAAUUCAUUUUGGGAAAAAUAUUAUCCUUCCAAUUAAUAAACUUCACAGUCAUAUACACACAAGCAUGAAAUUUUAGGACACCAAGGUCUGUGUCAGGACUCAGCUUUUUUUAAAAAAAAAUUCUUCUUCACACCUCAUGGUUCUCUCUAUUAUGGAUCUAAUUUCCUAAUGCAAUUUCAUAACAUAGUAUACGACCUCAUACUUAGUAGCACACAACAAAUCAUCCCUUCGACAUCCCAUGUAACCGAAUAGCCGGGUAGAAAACUGUACAACUACCAGUAAAAGUUCUAGAACAUGGCAAUUAACCACAAAUAUUGCAACAUGCAUGCUAGUGACUAUAAAGAUUGUUUAUUUGGCAUGAAGUGUAAAAAAUUCAAAAGCAUAACAUCUAAGAGUUCCCACACAACAUAGCAUGGAUACUACUCGCCACUUUCCAUAUUAUUUGCAACAAGUGUACUUCAUGAAAGCUAAAUAUGUACAAUGGUAACAGCAUAAAAUCUUCGUAUUGAAACUCACCUAUAUCUCAAGAAGAAUUGCCAGCAUCAGAUCCAUCUGAAGAGGAGCUAUCACUGUCUGAGUCUGCGAAAAGAAUGGUAGAUGAUCAGGCUACUAUGUUGUCCGUACAUAUAAUUACUAGUAAUGCAAGGGAAGUUGAGGGAAGUAUUACCACUAGAAGAUGAUCCUGAAUCACUGCUGGAGCUGCUUGAAUUGCUUGAACUACUCGCGUUUUGUCUAUUCUCAUCAUUUUGCUCUGGCGCAGACGCUGCCAGUUGCUCGCCUGCCGUCGAAUCUGUUUGCGACGAAAAUUUUAAAUUCAUUCCCUUACUUGUAAUGUGCUUCUAAGAUGAAGUAGAAAAUAUAACCAACCUUUCUCCAUUUGCUUCGGAGAUUUUUCACCAACAUUGGGUUCUUGGGUGACUUGGGUCUGCAAAGCAUGAAACAAUAGUUUUCAGUAUUGAUUAUAGUUUUGCUUAAAAGAGUAUUACAAUUGCUAAAAGUGAAUAGUGGAGUGCUCAUACUGGUUGCGGUUGUUGCAGUUGUUGCGGUUGCUGUAUAGAGUGCUGUGCACGCAACUCUGCAUCUUGUCUGGCAAGCAUUGCACGCUCAGCCUUUCUCUUUUGCUUACUCAGGUUCUUCUUGUAGUUAGCCACAAACCUGUCAAGCUCCCAAAGUGUCUCAGCAUCCAUGCUAUCAAUUUCAACCUCAAUCUCAUCAUCAUGCUGCCUGACUGAUAGAUUCUUAUUCUUAAUGACUUGUACAACGGCGUCAAGCUUCUCUGGAGGCAAAUUCUGGAGGUUCUCGCUAAGCUUACGCUUCUCAUCUAUUGUCAUGUCCCUCUUAUUUGGAUCCUUCGCCCUUGGUUUCUUCAUCGAUGGAGUCCGGGAAUAUGUGGGAGUAUGACUGAUUGGCCUUGAAGAGUCCAACGCCAUCUGGCGUCUCAUGGAAUCUGACCUCUCUAGGAAGCGCAGGUCAAUCGGUGGAGGUGGAAACUUCUUUGGCAAUGGAGGACACGAUGCGAGAUAAUUAACCUCAGCCUCAAUCUCAGGCCACUGUGCCUCAAAGAUUCCUGACAACUGCUCUGCCAUGAAAUGCACAUCCUGUCCCUUGGGGUUAUAUGUCAUUGCAUUAUGGAAAGUGAGCCGCACAUCGUCCGCAAAUUCCUUUGGGUUCCUGUACUGCCCAUGGCUGAGCCGCGCCCUUAUCGUGCCAAGAUCCAUCGGGUGCUUAAUAAUUGUGAAAUAGUCAUGCAAACCAAGAGCAACUGGAUCGACAGGCUUGUUGAACACCCACCCAAACUUGUGCUUCAUUAGUCGGCUCAGAAGAGAUGAGGACUUCUUGAAUGCAUGAGAGUACAACCUCCGCUCAGCAUCAAAGUCUGCGCCACGAGAUUCUUGGGACCUGUGCUUCUUCUUGUGGUGCUUGGAUUUCUUGCGCCCAUGUGAAUCUGAGGCCGGGAUCCUAUCCUUAGCGAGCAAAAACUCGGAGUUCUGGUACAAUUGAUUGGCCUUUGGCGUCCGUUUCUCCUUCUCAAAGGCUUCAUUAUGAACGACCGAAACGGUUAGCGGUCUGCGCGGGAGAAACGAGCGGACAGGUGGAACCACAGGAGUGAGUUGCGCUGACAUGUGUGUCACCAUAUCACCGGCGGAGAACUGCGGCUGCUGCGGAUACCCAACGUCCACCACCUGGUGCUGCGGCACCACCACCAGGGGCAAAGACGCGGGCGCGGAAGCCUCCUGCUGCGCCAGGGUCUCGGCAGCCUCCUUGAGGCGCCUGGAGAGCACGCGCACCUGGUCGAGCUCCCCCGCCAGCCGCCGCCGCAGCUCGCUCCUCACCCUGCGCUUCCGUGCCUUCUCAGCCGCCCGGUCGUCGCCGUGGCCGUUGGGAACGCCGCCGCCGCCGCUGCUAUCCCGGUCCUUCCCCGACGAGGGGUCCCCGGAAGCGGCACCGCGUCCCCCAGGCCUCGCUGGGGCGAGGGUCGAGGCAGCCGCGACCGGAUCGGGCCGCGAAGCAGCUCCCCCGGCCUCCGCGCGGCGGAUGGAGCGGCGAAUCGAAGAUAGGGUUUCGGAAAGGGGAUUAGGGUUAGGGUCGGGGGCGGGGGCGGGAGCGGGAGCGGGAGCUGAGGAGGGGGCGGGGGCUGGUUCGGGAGGAGGAGGUUUAGGGUUUUUGCGGGGGUACUUGCGGGCGUAGACCUUGAUCUCCGCGGGCCAACGCCGCAUGGCGGGAGCGGCGGGAGCAGCCGGCGCCUCCGCGGCCGGGGCGGGGCCCGGCGUCGGCUCCUCCCCGCCGUCGCCGUCGCCGGGAGGGUCCGACGCCAUGCAUAAACCCUAAAUCCGGGCCCCGGGGCGGCGCCGGAGUGAGGAAUUCGGAGGAUUCUGCGCGGGGAAACCCUUUCUGUGGCUCCUGGCGGCGCCGAUUUGAUAUUUUCCUGCGGCUAUGGCGGUGGAAUGGAGCGGGGCUGCAGGCUGGGGGUUGGUGGCGGCGUCGGACGCGUCUCUGCUUUUGUGGGGGAGGAGUGGAGGACUCGAGCUGAGCCGAAGAGGAAAGGGGGGAGUGAAUGGGCAGGGGCGGCCGCUCGUGCAAUCCUGGCCGUUAGAAUCUGCCGUUGGAUACCGGCUUUUUUUUUUCUGGGAAGUUGUUGGAUACCGGCUUUGACUCUGGUCUGGUGCUGUAAGUGACUGACUCUGACAGGUCAGUGUAUCUUCUUCAGUUCUGCUCUGCUCCUGUUGAUCACCUCUCUUUAGAUCCGCGGACUAAUUUUGGAUCGCGGACUAAUUUUUUAUUCAAGUCAAGUUGGAUUUUGAAUACCAAUUGGAAAACGAACGUAAACUAAUUGCAUAAGUCGUGGCUAAUUUGCGAGAUGAAUCUCUUAAGCCUAAUAAAUAUUAACUGUAGCGUUAUAUGGUCAAAUCAUGGACUAAUUAGACUUAAUAAAUUUGUUAGGUUUAAUAGAUUCGUCCCGCGAAUUAGCCUUCAUUUAUGCAAUUGAUUUUGUAAUUAACCUAUAUUUAAUAGGGACAAAAUUAUCUGCGGCGGUGCCGCACCGUGCUUGGCGUGCGACACCACCCAGGAUUUGGAUGCGUGUCCGCUGCCCCAAUCCAGAGUAGUCUCGCCCGUGUUUUGUCGAGCCGAACAGGCCGUAGAGUCUGCAUGAGGAGAGCCGACGAGCCGCCUCUUUUCUGUGCCCACAUGAGGAGAGCCGGGCCUUGGGCAAUCAGAGAUCCAUGCGCCGUCCCACGGUUUCGCAAAGAUCCACACGCCAUCCUGCAGCACCCCGACCUAGACGCCGGCCGCGGCACCCCACCCCCACGUCGCACGCCGGCGGUCGGGCCACGGCGGCGUUGGCUCGAGCUUCUAAGCCCCGCGCAGCUUCCAGGCCUCGCGCGACACCAGCAGGGAAUUUUCUUCCACAGAUUAAGGCCCCUUCGUAAAAACGGAUCGAGCCGAUGGAGGAUUCUGGCGCUGGACAAUCGAGUGCAGCUUCUAGGAAAAUGGUCCAGACAAUUAUGCCAUCAAUGCCCACAACCAACACGGACACCAUCGCCGUGAUUUCCUCAACCCUCGCAGUCGAGGCACCAGCUGAGAUCACAGUUCGUUGUGCUUCACCAUCGAGAUCAUUGUCGAGCCCCACCAUUGAGCCAGUCACAGGUCCAUCCAUGCUCCCAGAGGUGACGGUGAUGCCACCAAAUUCAACCAUAUUAGCUUCAGGGAUGCUAGAAGAAGUAGCACCUCAAGAUCAAGUAGUUCAAAAGUAACAAAAUGUAGUCUUGACAUAUCUUUCAAUAUUACAGUUUUAUAUUUUAAUUACUAUUUCAUUGGACUGCAGGAGGGUAGUAAUCAUGAUCAAUCUGCAGUUGUACCUCAAGUUGGGAUAUCUUUCAAAUCAGAGGAUGAUGCAUAUGAGAUGUACAUGCAUAUGCCAAGACUAUUGGUUUUAGUAUAAGAAAGAGCACUACAAGGCAUAGACCAGAUGGAACUAUAUAUCAGAAGCACAUAGUUUGCAGCAAUCAAGGACAACGAGGUAAACAUUCAUCACAUGAGACUUCAAAAGAAAAUGCUACUACAAGGACAAAUUGCAAUGCUUGGGUUCAGUUUAGUAUAAAUCGAGAGGGCAUUUGGAUAGUUCAAAAGGUUGUAUUUGACCACAAUCACUAUCUUGCUAGCCCAGAUAAGGUAAAUAAGCUGAGGUCUCAAAGAAAUAUUACAGAGUCAGACAAACAACUAAUUACUCAUAUACGAGGAGCUGAAAUACAACCAGUUAAAGUGUAUGAAUUUUUUAAGCAGUGGUAUGGAGGAGUUGAGAAUGUACCUUUCUCGCAAAUGAAUUGCAAUAAUUUGAUUGGUCGUGAGCGGAAGAAGUAUUUACCAUCCAAUCCAAUGAUGCACAAACACUACUAGAAUAUUUGAGGAAUAAGCAAUUAGAGGAUCCUACAUUUUUUUAUAUUUGGGGCUGCAUUAUAUAGAAACCAUUGAAUCAUUUGUUUGGCUCUUUAAAACAUUCCUAACAGCAAUAUCCACCAAGCAUCCUAGCACAAUUUUCACGGAUCAGUGUGCUGCCAUGUCUGCUGCAAUUAGAAUUGUAUUCCUUAACACGAGGCAUCGUCUUUGUUUGUGGCAUAUUUUCCAAAAUGCUGCUAAACACCUUAGUCAUGUAAUUGAGGACCAUCCCCAGUUUCUUGCAGAAUUUAAGAAAUGUGUCUACCAAGAGAGUUCUAUGGCAUACUUUGACGAGUUAUGGCAUGAAUUGUUGAUCAAAUAUAAACUUGAGAAGAGCUCAUGGUUGAAUAACCUAUACGCGUUGCUGGUGCACCAGGCUGCUGUCUUCCGUGACUUUUUUACUGCCGAUAUGACCUCAACCCAAAGGAGUGAAGGUAUGAAUAAUGUUUUUAAGAAAAAGUUUUGAAGAAGACUCUGCCUUUCUGAGCCCAUAGAAGAAGGUGAGAAAUGUGCUGCUGGACUCCGUGAGAAUAAGUUGGAUGCGGACUAUAAAUCACGAUCCACUAACCCAAUUCUUUAUUUGCCGUAUUUAGCAAUGUUGAAGACUGCAGCUCAAUUAUAUACAAGGAAGCUUUUUUCAGAUUUUGAGGAGCAAUUUAAAGAGCAAUCCCCUUCUCGCCCCCCUAUGCCCUUAUAUACAAGGCUCAUAGGGAGGGUUACAGCGUUAAUCGUCGUGGAUCCACUACACAGUCGGGCGCCUUCCCUUGGCUGGUUGUGGUGGGUCCUGCCCUUCAGUUGUGGCGUCUCCCGGCUCUAUCUCCAUGAAAACCUUCUAUGGGGGCCCAUACCUAGACCACCUUGGAUAUGGAACCUGGCCCCUACACAUAUCCGGGGGCGGCGCCUGUCCCUGGUCACAUCACCUGACAUUGUCAUCAUGGCGAACGGGGCAUCGACGUGCCUGACCAGGUACGGUCUGAGUCAACGCUACAAUGUCGUUCUUGACUAGAGGUUUUUCAUCCGAACGUGGUUGUCCUGCCUUCCUAGGCACGGAAAAUGGUGCGCCCGACUGGUCGGCCUGCGCCCCCUUGCCUCGGUCCACGUGGGCGCGUCUGCGGUCGCCCCAUCGGGCAGACCUAGCUACACAUUGGAGCGAUGAUAGGCCUAGCCCAUCAUUAUGCCUAGGCCUCUGUGGGAUGUCUUGGGCCAGGUCAUCGGCCUGUUCUUUUCGAUGCCUGGGCCUCCGCCUCAGGUACUGCUGGUCAGUCGGGUGAUGAUGGGGGUGGCCCCUUAUCUGGUCUUGUUUGCUUCGACUCAUGGUCUUCCUUUGCUUAAAUUAGCUGAUGGUUUAGGCUAUCCUUAAUCUGGAUAUCCAUUAGUUAGGGUUGGGGGUUUGAGCCACAAGAAGUGCACUCUCUCGAGCUGGCGACAAAGUUGAUGGGAUGGCGAGAUGGCGAGGUGGCAUCGAUAAGGCUAGGUCAUAGUUAGGAACAUUGUUACUGCAACAUUGUUUGAGGCAAGGCUCAAGGGGGCGGCAACCCAGUGAGGUGGUAGUAGGGGAGGUGGAGGCGUGGUGGGUGGCCACGAAGGCGAUGGCAGCUAUGAGUAUAUAAGGGGUGCUGAGGUAGAGCCGGUGCACAUGGAGCGUUGGAGGAAGACCAAGAAGAUUACGAAGUGAUGGUUCAUGAGGUUAAUCUACUCCAAUUCUAUAUGAUUGUUAAUUUAGUGGUAACUUACACCUUCCAAAUUCAUGAAUCACCAUAUAAAGACCAUUCAUAAUCUUUUGAAUGUCAAUCCCCCUUAGAUGAACCAUAUGGCCAGGAGACACUAUGAAUCAUAAUAGAAGGGCUUCCCCAUCCAUAAGCGAACGAGGACAGUGUGAGUAUGUCUCCUAGGAGUCGAAGAAGGACACCCUGACCAAGGCUAGCUUUAGACCAAAAGUGCAACUGCCUAGGAACCGACUAUGUAGGGGGCUAAAAUAACCUAUAGAAAGUUUGGCUCAACUUUGUCCUCUAGUGUAACAUUCUUAUAGGUUUAACUCCACGGUAGCUCAUCAGCCCUGGUUGACUUUACCAUCUUUCCACUUGUCCAUGUUGAUAUAAACAUGUUGCUCGCAAUCGCUAUUUGCUAGACGUACCGUGCCUAUAUAUGCAAACUCCCGACCUCCACCUUUUCAUACGUCUAAUUGGGCCUUCUCAAGUCAGCGGUGGGGCCCUUUUCCAAAAUCCAAGCGGUCUAUUUCUAUAAUUAGUUAGUAUUCAAUUUUCUUGUGUGUUGUUUACUGCAGUCAAUUUACUCCACAAACGUUCUACUUCCUCAACAUAAACAUAUGUUAGUUAGGGUUCAACUCAACGCUUGUGGGCUCGUGGCCAUUGCAUGACUUUAUUUUGUACGUAUGGACGGUUAUUAGUUUGUAUGUCCUCUCUUUUUCACUUGAUACCCUCCUACCUAAUAGUAAUAGUUGAUUGUUGGGGGUAUUUGGUGCAUGAGAAAAUAGAUAAUCUUUUAUGAUGGGACUUUGUUGGGCGCUCCUAUACAUCACGCGGAAGGUAGGAAGUGUUUACAUCGCACGGCCCAUCAGGCCCACGAAGAAACAACUUGUUUCUUCCCCCUCGGCCCUCGCUAUCGUUCGGCGCCGCCAUGCCGCACCUUUCUUCUUCAGCUCCGUCCAGAAGCCCCCGCCUCCUCCGUCGUCCCACCCGGCUCCGACGGCGGGGGCGCCGCCGGAGCUGCCGCUAGCAUCCACGGCCAUCCCUAAUCGCUGUGAGCGCCACGCCCCCGUCUUUUGCACUUCCCAACCGGCCUCCACCACCACCGUGGCGGGCGGCGCCCCUGCUGCCUCGCCGUCCCACCCACACACCGCCACCUCCGCCCGGCCGGCGACCACCCCCGGCCAUCCCUCUAUAACCCUGGGACAUGGAGCCACCGAGCAGCCCAACCCCGAACCCUAAGGGUGCGGCUCGACGGCGCAAGGGGCGGCUGCUCGUCAGCGUAAGGCGGAGCUCGCCCGAUGCGACCACGGCGCGUGGCAAGGUGGAGGAGGGGCGGCGUCAGCGUCAACAAGUUGGAGCUCGUGCGUACAGAGAGGAGGAAGAUGAAGCCUGGACCGUAGAUUUCUAGUUUUUGCACGAAUCUUAAAGCGGAAGUGUAUUAGAUACUGCCUUGCAGAAGAUCGAUAGGUUUUCCGGACUUUGUCUCGAGGCAGAUGGAAGUCCAUGGCCCUCGUUACGCAUCAGGCUAAGCAGAUACGAGGUGUUAAACUUUAGCAAGGUCAUAUUGAACGUUCGGAUGCUAAUUAGAAGGACUAAACACGAGCUAAUUAUAAAACUAAUUGCACAGAUGGAGUCCAAUUCGCAAGACGAAUCUAUUAAGACUAAUUAAUCCAUCAUUAGCAAAUGGUUAUUGUAGCACCACAUUGUCAAAUCAUGGACUAAUUAGGCUUAAUAGAUCCGUCUCGCGAAUUAGACUCCAUCUUUACAAUUAGUUUUGUAAUUAGACUAUGUUUAAUACUCUAAUUAGCAUCCAAACAUCCGAUGUGACAUGUGCUAAAGUUUAACAGGAUGUAUCAAACGGCCCCUUAGAAACUUGUGUUGGAUCAAUGACUUCAUAUUUUUGUCAUUAAAGUUUUCUAAGUAGGGUAUUUCUUUGGGCCUCUGGCCUUCUAACUUCACGUGUAUCGAUUUUUUCCUAUAUAAUUUCCGCUAUUCCCUCGCUUGCGUAAGUUUUUGAUUAAGUUCAAGCUUGCAUUGACAUAGAUGCUUCCAUGCUCAUCAGCUCAUGAUUGGCACGAUAACACCUAACCCGCUAGUAGCAACAGUACUCUCCUCUAGCCAGACUGUUUUUUCUCAAUAGUAGGCUUACGUCCAUUUUGUGCACAUCAUACGAGAACAUAGAUUAGCCUAACCUUCUUUGUACACUUCCAAGGAAAUUUCAGCUUUCAAGAGACAAAUAAGAUGUCACUCCAACAAUCUUAUCAGUAUCACACCACGAAAUUAUCGGACACACAAAAGGCCUACACAAACGAUACACACCAGGGUGAUCAUCAAAGCAUGGGUCACUCUAUUUUUUGGAAAUUGUUCUUACCGCCUGACUUUGAAGAAAGAAUAAGAUAAGGACUGCAACUUUGGACACUUACCUCAGUUUUCCCUGAUUUUGUGCCAGCCACAUUUUUUAGGCGACCAGAUACAAAAUUGAACUAAACGAGCCAAUCAAAAAAUGGUGCAAGGAUGAAAGAAGUGUGCCAACUGCCAACCAGAUUGGUGUCGGCUAACCAAAUUCUAGCCACUACAAGUCAGAAAAAAUUACCUAGUGUUGCACAAUCAGCCAAAGAAAAGCUUGGAGGAGGGGAGGGAGGGAGGGACUACACCCAUCAUACACCAGCACAUAUGCUUCACACUCAUUAUGGAAGCGUCAACAUCAGAAGCAUUGCCCCUUUUCUGGCUUCCAAUGGCAACCUAACAUUAGCAGCUACCUAGGAGUUUUUCCUAAAAGAGGGGGGAUAAACAUGUACAACCUAACUGCCAUUGGCAAGCCAAUAAAAUUCUUGAGUUAUGGUCUACGCAGCAAGCACCUGAACCUGCAAAUCAGCAUAAAGUAACCGUUAUUACAAUUCAAAUCAACUCAAAAAAUGACAGAGCAAGUAUGGACAUCUUAUUAGACAGUCAUUGGAUAGAAGUUAACUCCCCGGACCAGUUAGCACUGAAAUAGCAGCAUAGAUCACUAACAUGCCACUGAUUUCAUAAGGCUUCAGUAUACCUCAAGACACCAAAAUUCAACAGUCAGCCUAGCCUCUCUAAUCAUAUACAAACCCAGAAAUUAUUUUCUUAAGUUUUACUCUUCAUAGAAAAAACAUUUAAUUGCCUCUAAGAUUAUAGCACAUAUUUAGACCAUGCUGGACAUGAUACCAAUUCAUCAUGGUAGUGCUCCUAGCAGGAAGGGAACCAAGUUUGAAGAGUACAGAUUACAGAAUCUAAGGCUCCACUGAUUCAAACGUUCGUUUUACAACUAUCUGACAUGAAAGCUAACCAAAGAGUUUACCAAUCAUUUCAUCAAAGACUCAUGCAACUUACAUAUCAAAGCAAACAAAGAUUUAAAAUGAUGAUGGCGCUCAUUGGUCUCCAUACACAGGAAAGGAAGGGAUAAAAACUUUCCGGAUGCUACUUUUGACCAAAAAAUGGUCUGCUUAAAGAGAUUCACCAAAUGAGCUAUCGAAGAAAUCAUAUCGAAGCUAUUAAUAGAACUGACAAGCACCCAGGUGAAAAUUCAAAGAGGCCAUUCGACAAAGCAACACUAGUCUGCAUGUACAAAUAAGCGCACGGACUAGUAUGCAGCAGCACUGACAAGAUAGGACCAACUAGCAACAACUUACUUUGUACACCAUCAGCAGGAUAUACCCAGGAAACAGGUUUCAACAUCCGGUAGAGGGUAUGCAGGGUCCAUCUGGAUCCUUUUUAUUUAAUAAGAAUUUUUUUACUAGAAAAUUUAGUAUUGAAGGAAACAAAAACAAAAUCCAGAACAAGCAAUGAUGUCCCACAAAUCUAUGCACUCUUUCGACUGAACAUCCAAAAUGGAACCUUCAAAUUACAAUAGCAUAUGAAGGAAUAAGCAAAAGGAAUCAAUACUACUAACUAAAAGGUGCCGUGCAGAAAGGCUCCAUAAACACUUUUAACGCGUGGAAAAUCAAUAAAAAAAUGGAAUGGAAUUAUCAUUCAACACAUGCAAUGCCUAGGGAAUCUUCCGGACUGCUUGGAUAACCAUUUCCAGCAUAGAUAAAAUGAGUGGGAGCUAACAAUGUAUAAAAUGAGUGGGAGCUAACAAUGUUUUUUUGGAUGAAUCCUGGAUUUGACAAUUAACUUCCAUUUUUCUAACUAAAAAUUCAAGCAAGCAAAAAUGGAUACCACAGAUGGUUUACAUGAUAAAAGGGAUUAAAUAAAUAAAUAAGUCCAUAAAAAAAGGAACGAAUGAGACAGUAUUGAGAAAUCAAAGGCAAAGAAUCUAAUUAACUUAUAUGGCUGUUUCGCAACCAGAUUCUUAAAGAAAACGCCACAAUGUUUCUUCCUUUUGAAACUGGAGACCUAAUCUGUUCCUUUACAAUACCCUCUCCUACAUAAGAACCUCUCCAACUCAGCGCAAGGAUAAAGGAUAAAAUCUAAUGUGAAUGAAACACAAGGAAAUGUUAUGUUAAGCAUUUUUUUAUUACAGCUAAUUGCCUAAUUCUGCCUCUUUGCUUCACCUGGGAGAAUCUGAUUCAAUAAAUAAAUCAAGUCUUUUGGUUCACAGCCAAAUGGGGUAAAAAAUUAUCACAUGCAUUUCGUUUGAAAGUAAUGCCUGGGGAGUUCGACUUCUCCCACAGGGCAUUACUACAUUAACAAAAAGUAUCACCCUAAUUUACUCUUGUGAAAGAAGAAUGAUAAACGUAUAGCAAAGUUAACACAACAGAUCUCAUGCUUCAACAGAUAGACCCACUUGAUGGCUCUUAAAAUUGAGGAAAUAAUUGAUACUGCAGUUGCAUCAUUGUGUUUAUCCUAUUUUGCUCUCAUUUACAAGAAUAACUCAUGGCAUGUCUAGGUUAAAUCCUUUCACUCUGAUGCAUGUGAAAGAAUGAGGAGACAAGUGUGCCCAGAAAACCUAUAUGGCUAUCUCUAAUAUAUUUAAGCAACAUAACAUUUUGCUUGUCUUGUGGAUAGAUGAACAGCUCAUUUUUUGAGCUGCGAGCCUGCAAUACUGGAUGGAAUCCAAGGUUGAAUGCCUGGGUGAUGGAUAAUGAAAGAAAGCAGGAUAGCAGUGCCACAAUGCACGAGGAAGCUAGCAAGUGGCAAGGCUCUGAAAACAGGAGUGUGGAGCCCAAAAAUAAGGGAAUGCUUUAAAGCUUAUUGGGCCACAUGGUCUAAACAAACAGGCGAAGUUGCAAUCUGAAAAGACGCCAGAAGAGUUGGAAUGUUUUUUAUGGUAGCAAAGAUCUAAGAACCAACAAUAGCUUAGUUGGUAGAGCCUCAAGUUGGGAGCCUCAAGGUGGUCAUGUGAGUUCCUCCUUAAAGGGUUUGGUACUCCCCUCUCUUAUGACAAAGCAAGGCCUUCUUCUCCCUGUGGUCAAGCUUUUUUUUUUUUAAGGCAGCAAACAUAUAGCUUCUCUGCCUGGCUCCAUACCAAAGGUCACAAGUUCUUACAAAUUGAACAUGGUCUUGUUGAUCACUGCCACCAAGGCAAAGUUCUGUGUGACGUCUGGCCAAGAAUAUGGAGCAAGCAACCAUAGCGAGCUGGUUUGGCACUCUCGUCCCAUCAACACAGGACCAUGCAGAUGAAAACGGAAACACUUGAAGAACAAUAGGAUGUCCAAAACCUUUUAAAUGUUCAUCUCUGCAACCAUGAAUGCAUUUAAUCAUGGCAUUUAUGAAGUUAGAAGCUGCCUUUUACAAAAUCUCUAUCAUUUGAAGAGCAAAGAAGCAACAGUUUCCUAACAUAUUACCUAACUUUCUAUAUACUAAGUUUCCAAGUCUUGUGCCGGGAGCAACAAGUAACCAGAAAGCAUGGAAGCAUAAAUACAGAUCAGGAAUUUUUCAGAAAUUGAGAUCUGCAUCAGGAUUUAUUUCCCUUGUGCCACUUUGAUACAAAAAAUGAUCAUGUUACCUCAUAGUUGGCAAGACAAUUUCCAGCUUGAUCAGAUUGAAUGGUUAGGCCUUACGAUCGGUCAGUUUAACUAAGGGUGAGCAACCUGAUAACAGCUACAAUGUUUUUUCUCAGGAUAUUACAUUUUACCAAAUAUUCACAAUAUGCGUGCUGAUGACUAUCAAAUAAUAUUAAUUUCAACACAGAAUCAGAAAAUUCUGGAUUCUUGAAAUGUGAAAACAGAAAAUACAGAUGAUUGCACACAACAUAACAUAAAUAAGAAAAAAAAAUCCAGAUAUUGUCCCUCAAGGCUAUGUUGUUGUAUAUUGUCCCUCAAGGCCUCAACUAUGAGUGUGGUUAACCUUAUAGUCAACUGUGAUACCGCUUCUACAUGGCACAUGACCCUUUCCAGUCCAAACACUAGACGGUAGGCAGUAACGAAACCUAACUUCCUCAAUGGCGGCCUGUUCUUCACAAGAUCUACAGCAUGGGGCACUGCGAAAACAAUAUCAGCCCAGGCCUUCUUUGAGCACUCCAGGGUUGUCACUGUGAGGCUGUGCUUGACUCAUUAGCAGCAGCCACGAGGAAACACCAUCACUGCCACCUCCACAUAGCAAGCAGCACCAAGCAAGGGGACAAAGAAGAAGAAAGAAGUAGGCAGGAGAAAUGGAGCUAACUAAGAAUGUAGGACUAACAUGGCAACCAAAAGUCAAAAUGAGGGUGGUUUAUGCAAAGGGAUGUUGCUUGCACCAGUUGUGACAUUUCGAGGAUGAAAAUUAAAAGGUUUUGACACUUGGAGGUGUAGAUUAAACAUGAUUAUAUUAUUUGAUUAAAAGACCAACAAAUGUUGAAUGAAUGGAACUCCUGUGGAAGGAAAUAGUGACAUACAAAUUAACGUGCACACAGUAAACCACAAAUACCUUACAUUUAUGCACCAAGCAAUCAACAUGACAGCUGACUAGGUACAACAGCAAAACGGGGGAGCACAACAUUCUCAAUGGAACUUACCUAUAUUUCAAGACAAAUUGGCAGCAUCCGAUCCAUCUGAAGAAGAACUAUCACUGUCUGAGUCUGCAAGAAAAAGAGUGUCAAAAUGAUUUAGUUAUAAUGCAAUCCAACAAUUUUCUGAACGGUGAAACGUCAACACCAAACGUGAAAGGUUAAGUAAAUAUUACCACUAGAAGACGAGCCUGAAUCACUGCUGGAGCCGCUAGAACUGUUUGACCUACUUGCCACAUGUCCAUUGUUAUCAUUUUGAUUUGGCGCAGAAGAUGCUAAUUGCCCACCCACCAUCACAUCUUUGGUACAAAAAAAUAAUAAAUCAUUAACUUGCUUGCAAUGUUCUUUGAAGAUGAUUUUAGAAAAUAGAGCAAACAUAUCUUACUUUGCUUUGGAGAUUUUUCACCAGUGUUACGCUCUUCAGCCUGCAAUGAUAGGAAAUCUUAUAUUCAGAAACAAUGACAACUUCUUACGAUGAUGUUACUGCAUAUUUAAAAAUGAUUGAAUGCUCAUACCAGUAGUUGCUGUACAGAAUGCUGUGCACGCAACUCUGCAUCUUGUCUUGCAAGCAUUGCACGCUCAGCCCUUCGCUUUUGCUUGCUAAGGUUUUUCUUGUAGUUAGACACAAACCUAUCAAGCUCCCAAAGAGUUUCAGCAUCCAUGCUAUCAAUUUCAACCUCAAUCUCAUCAUCAUGCUGCCUAACUGUCAAAUUCUUGUUCUUAAUGAGCUGAACAACUGCGUCAAGCUUCUCUGGAGGCAAGUUCUGGAGGUUCUCGCUAAGUUUACGCUUCUCGUCCAUUGUCAUGUCUCUCUUAUUUGCAUCCUUUGCCCUUGGUUUCUUCAUUGAUGGUGGCCGGGUGGGAGUAUGACUUAUUGGCCUUGAAUUGGAUUCCAACGCCACAUGGUGUUUCACAGAAUCUGACCUCUCUAGGAGACGCAAGUCAAUUGGAGGAGGUGGAAAUUUCUUUGGCAAUGGUGGGCACAAUGCAAGAUAAUUAACCUUUGCCUCGAUCUCAGGCCACUGCGCCUCAAAUAUCCCUAGCAACUGCUCGGCCAUGAUAUGAACAUCAUGCCCCUUCGGGUUAUAUGUCAUGGCAUUCUGGAAAGUGAGCCUCACAUCCUCAGCAAACUCCUUCGGGUUCCUGUACUGACCAUGGCUGAGUCGCCCCCUGAUCGUUCCAAGAUCCAUUGGGUGCCUGAUAAUUUCAAAAUAAUCAUGCAAGCCAAGUCCAACUGCAUCGACAGGCUUGUUAAACACCCAUGCAAAUUUGUGCUUCAUUAGCCGGCUCAGAAGUGAUGAGGACUUCUUGAACGCAUGAGAGUAUAGCCUCCGCUCAGCAUCAAAGUCUGCACCACGAGGUUCUAGAGACCUGUUCUUCUUCUUGUGGUGCUUUGGUUUCUUGCGUCCAUGUGUGUCCGCAGGUGGGAACUUAUCCUUGGCAAGCAAGAACUCUGAGUUUUGGUACAACUGAUUCGCCUUAGGUGUCCGCUUCUCCACCUCGAAGGGUUCUGUGUGAACCACCGACACAGUUAGUGGCGCCUGCGGCGGCAGUGAGCGAAAAGGGGCAAACGCAGCCUGGGCAGGUAUGGGCGUCACUGGACCGGUGGGUGAGAACUGUGAGCGAAUGUAUCUAGCAUCCACCACCUGUGACGGCGGCAGCAUCAUAGCCAGAGGCAUGGGCACUGAAUCCUCCUGUUGCGCCAAGGCCUCAGCAGCAGCCUUUAGUCGCUUGGAGAGCAUACGCACCUGAUCAAGCUCUGACGCAAGCUGCCGCCGCAGUUCGCUCCUGGCCCUGCGCUUCUUUGCCUUCUCAGCCUUCUGAACGGCAACCAUGGCCCAGUCUUUGCCAUGGCCGUUGGGAACGGCGGCCCCGUCCCGGUUAAUCCCCGGGGCAAUGUCACCCGAUCCGGGAGAGGGUUCCCCAGGAGGUGCCGGAGCCAGAGGCGGAGCAGGAGAAGAGGAGGUAGGCGCCGCCGGGUCGGGGAACGGAGGCGUAGUGGAACUCGUCGCCGCUGGGUCGGGGAACGGAGGCGGAGUGGAAAUCGGCGCCGCUGGAUCCGGGAACGGAGGCGGAGUGGAACUCGGCGCCGCCGCAGCGACCCCAUCCUCCGGGCAGCGAAUGGGUCGAGGAAUCGAGGAUAGGGUUUCCGGGAGGGGAUUCAGAUCGGGGGCGGGCCCCGGAGGAGGCGGAGGAGGAGGUUUAGGGUUUCUGCGGGGAUACUUGCGGUAGUAGACCUUGAUCGGCGACGCCCACCUCGACCUGGGUGGGGCGGAGGGGGCGGUGGAGGAGGCCGGCGCGGGACCCGCCGCCGCAGCCUCCUCCCAGUUCGCGACGCCGCCGCCGGGCGGGGCGAGGCCAUGCAUAAACCCUGAUUUCAGAACCCCGGUGGCCCGACGGGGACGGGAUUGGGUGGGAUUCGGGAGCGGGCGGCGAGGGUUUCGCGAAGAACCCUAGAAAAGUUUCAUAAUUUUGCGGCGGUGCGGGUCCGGUGGUGCGUCGGUUGGCAUUUUGGGCGACGGCAUCGGCUCUGGAGCGGGGAAAGGCGCACGUGUGAUCCUGGCCGUUGGAACUGGAAUCCAAGGGGUAUUAGGGUAGAAUCCAAAGGCUCCAUAGCAAGGGAGCGUGACGUGGCUGUGUAAAGAAAAGACUCGUGCUAUUUUUUCCGGCCCAUCAGCGGUUAUUAUUGUUUCUGGGCUGGAUGCUACUGUACAAUCGGGCCGGGACGUGCAGAUCGGCCUGGUUCACACAGAAGCGAGCUGACCGAAGCUAGCUGGUGGUGAGGAUCAGACCACAAGUGGCCUUGACCAUAUGGCCAUGAACAUGAUGUAAUAUGUUUGUCUGUUCCAUUUUUUAAUCUUUUUUAUACAGGGUAUAACCUAUUGGGCUGAGACCAAAUCAAUGGAAGAAUUUGCAUUGCUUUAUAAUUCCAAUGUAUGUGUCGUGAAAUUCAACGGCAAGAUCUUCAUGUUCUUGUUUGGUUUGCAUUAUUAAUCGAUUUAGUCACCUUUUUAGUGGUGAAAUGUAUGCUUCUUUUCCUUUCCUCUUCUGUGUAGUUGGUUUAUGGGUUGAUUGUUGUUGUGUUUUGUCUUAUAUUUCAAUUUCAGCCCAUUUAUACCUCAGGGAUUUGCAUAUGCAAUUUUUUUAAUUUUGCAUCAGUUAUGCGCCGCCAAAGGUUCUCUUGGCGCCUCACAGUUGGCAUCAUCCCAAAAGUCAUCAAUCAAAUGAGUCCCUUAUGUCCAGGACAUCCAUUUCACUCUCCUCGCCUGUUUGCGGUGCUGCUACUAUCGUUGCUCUCGCCAAAGCCCGAAUAGCAUGAUGUAGUGAAGAGAAUAUGCCAGACAUUAUAGGUCCGGUUAGGAGAGCUAGAAGUAUCCAAGAGAGGAGUCAUAUGCUAUUGCGCAAAUAUGAGGUACCAUUAUUGCUUGUUUGUUUGGAGGUAAUUGGUGGGAUAGAAAGGGAAUUUAGACUCGAGAGAUAAAUUUUGUUUUGGCGGGCAUGAGAGUUUUAGUGGGAUGAGGAAUGGAAGUUUAGAGGAACAAUUCCAGCCAAUCACUUCCCAAGGAGAAGGUACCAAUUGGGUGGGAAUUUAUUUUUAGUGGAAAAUGGAUGCAUCUACACCGUUAAUCAUAACUUAAGAUAUAAUUUACUACCUCUAAACCUCCACACCAAACAAAACAAAGGAUACGAAGUUUCACUUAAACUCCCAUACUAAUUCCCUUCCGAAGACAAACAAGAGAAUGGAACUAAAAAUCAUAUUCCCAAAAUAAUUUUCCUCCACCAACUCCGAUCCCACCACUAAUUCACAUGUCCCUUUUCUAUUAGUUGCCAAACGCACCCUUAUGACUUCUUGAUCCGUUUACUUUUAGCAGGUGAAACAUGCCGAAUGGACAGAAGUAAACUCCAUUGGCAUGAGAGUUUUAGUGGGAUGAGGAAUGGAAGUUUAGAGGAACAAUUCCAGCCAAUCGCUUCCCAAGGAGAGGGUACCAAUUGGGUGGGAAUUUAUUUUUAGCCGAAGAUGGAUGCAUCUACACCGUUAAUCAUAACUUAAGAUAUAAUUUACUACCUCUAAACCUCCACACCAAACAAAACAAAGGAUACGAAGUUUCACUUAAACUCCCAUACUUAAUUCCCUUCCGAAGACAAACAAGAGAAUGGGACUAAAAAUCAUAUUCCCAAAAUAAAUUUCCUCCACCAACUCCGAUGCCACCACUAUUCCUAUUAGUUGCCAAACGCACCCUUAUGACUUCUUAAUCCAUUUACUUUUAGCAGGUGAAACAUGCCGAAUGGACAGAAGUAAACUCCAUUGGCAAUUUGACAUAACGGAGAACGCGUAUUGACAAUCAGUAAGUUGCAUGAUAAUUAAUGACACCUGGAAUUCACGCAUUCAGACCGAAGAAGAAAAGUGUCGCAGGAGAUUAUAAUAAGCAAAGGCCAGUUCCACAGCCAUCACUUUCAACGGAAUAUGAAGGGGAAGUUCACCGAGAGCACUCUUGACGCGGACAGGAAGAGCUACCUGAUCAGCUAGCUAGUGAUGCUGAGGGUUGGGUCCUCCUGGGCUGAGCCUCUUGGAGCUCUCGAAAACCUCCGGCGGGGGCUGAUCGGCGGCGGCGAAACUUGCGGUCAUGCUUGCCGCCGAAGUCUGCGCCUGGCCGACAACUAUGGCGGUGACGUCCUCCUCAGGCGGCCGGCACUGGACGGGGCAGCGGUCGGAGAUGGGGACGGGGGAGGAGGAGGCGACGAGGAGGAUGCAGAUGCAGAGACACACGGUUAGCUUCAUGAUCGCCCUUCACUGAGCUUGAUUGGUUAACGGCUGCUAGCCCUCUUCUGGCUGCUGCUACACGCCUGCAUUUUAACUGGAUGGAGACACCUAUUUAUAGGCAAACCGUUCCAGUUGGUGAUGAUCGCACCUGUAUGACCUCCCGUCACUGUGCACGCACAACUUCUACCGUCAACCUCUGAUGCGCUCAUGCUGGUGGACUGGUGUGGUUUAAAACCGAAAAUCAAAAUGGAUUUUACCUUUCAAAUUAUGUACUAUUUUGGUUCCAGUACUGCAUGCGCACAUCUUGCAUCAUAACUUCUUCAAAGUUACAAACGAUCAACAAUCACUUCAUUAAUAUGCUAUUUAUGUGAUACAAAAUCAUAAUCAUAAGUAAGUAUUUGUAAUACAGAUUUUUAUUUUUUUAAAAAAAUAAGUAGGAGAGCAGGGCAUCAUUGUAUUAAGAAAUUUUUUGUUGUUGAAGUACACACAACAGGUGGCCAACCAAGCCGCACGCCUAUGGCCAUUACGUAAUAUGAAAUCUAGCAUCAAAUUUGUGAUAGAAUAAGCCGGUAGAAGUUUUGUCGUAUCCCAGUGAAAUGAAUUACGUCUUGUUUCGAAGGGGUACAUUGGUUUAUAAAAUAUUUCCUAAGAAUGGGAAAACAAAAGGGCAUAAUAAAUAUAUGCAUUAUUAUAUAACUCGGCUAAGACAUCCCAUCUUUUUUUAAAAAAAUAUUUUCGGAGCCCUGCAUUCACUUAAUAAGAAUGUUCGGCCCCCCAUAUAUUUUUGUUCUUAAAACACAACUACCCCUCUCAUCUUCAUCUAUUUGCUCUCAUUUUUCAUGUCUCUCUUGUUCAAAGGGAGAAGGGGAAUUUUUCUUUCAUGCAUGCUUCACGUAUCAUCAUCAAACGAGUACGUAGCUAGUGCUUUCCAGUUGCAGCAUCUGACGUGAGAUGAUGUCACUUGAGAGUGAGACAUACCUGCCAAAACCGACGGAAAACCUAACCGGAGGUCCAAUUAUCUUGGGCAAAUGGUUUAUUUUUCUGGAAUGGUAUCUGCGGCAGAUAUGAUGAAAGAUGAUCCAUAUCCAGAUUAAGCAUUUCUCAAGGCUAAGUACCGUCAAAUCAAAUAUAAUGGAACUCGAGUCAAAGCACUACUCCUAAUACCCAAUUCGGUUUGUGCAGCUGCCAUGUCAUCCUGCAUUAGCCAUCGUGUCCUGUGUUUCAUUGGAGCAACAUGAAUAGUGCCGGUUGGCUUGUUCCGGUAACAGUUGCCUGCAAUGCAAGUGAGCGCGACGGUCUGCAAGAGGAGCACUUCUGACUUCUGCACUUGGAUUAUAUACAUGUUUCUGUCCUUGUUUACUUCACCCCCAACUCCCAACUUUGAUACUAUGCAAAAAGAAGAUUCUCCAUCACUUCAAACUUGCGGUACAUGCAUGGAGUACUAAAUGUAGAUGAAAUUAAAAAUUAAUUGCACAGUUUUGUUGUACUUUGCGAGACGAAUCUUUUGAGCCUAAUUAGUCAAUGUUUGGACAAUAAUUCACAAAUACAAGCGAAACGCUACAGUAUGCUACAGUGCCAGCACAGUAAUUUUAGCACUCCCAAUUUUGGCAACUAAACAAAGCCUCUGUCCCUUGGCAUACGCCAGAAGCUGGAGUUGUACGGCUUUUAGAGCCUCCAAGGUAGGCCGGCAUUUUAUUCCAUUAUCUUUUUUUAAAAAAAAGAUGCUGGAGUUGAAUUAUGAAAGCACGUAACUAGCCCACCGUUUGAUAUUGUUCCCUAGUGGAGCUCAAGUGUAUAUGCUCGGCGGCUCGGUGCUAGUGCAGUUCCCGCUUGCUCAGCAUUUGUAAGGAAAUACUCUGAAAAGCGUACACUUGUGUGAAGAAACAGAAAACCUUUGGCAAAAAACGCAAAGUCAUAUUCUCAUGGAUUUCACAAGAAAUGCAAUGUGUUUUAGCCUUCCCCAAAAGAGCAAAUGUCAUGUGAAAAUUCGCGGAAAUAAAAGUUGACGCCACUGUUUCCGUCAACUCUCACGUCCCCGUGACGCUGACAAUGAAGUCCAACGCCUACUCCCGAUGGGAGUCCUUCUUCAAGUCCAUGUGCGGCAAGUUCGGCCUCAAGUCGCACAUCGAUGACACGGUGGCGCCCUGACCCCAGGAUCUCGACUGGGAUCAAGCGGAUUGUUGCGUCCGCUCCUGGUUCUUUGGCUCCGUCGACGACUCCGUUCUCGACCUCGCCAUGACCGACGACGAUCAGACCGCCCGGGAUCUUUGGCUCGCCAUCGAGGGCCUCUUUCGCACCAACAAGCAAUCCCGGGUGAUCUUCCUCAGCCACGACUUUCACUCCAUGACGCAGGGCACCUCCUCUAUCGCCGAGUACUGCAGCCGCAUGAAGACCCUCGCCGACGCCCUCCGCGAUAUCGGCCAUCCCGUUCAGGACUCCCAACUUGUCCUGAACCUGCUCCGCGGCCUCAACCCGCGCUUCUCCAACACCGCCGACAACAUCGCCAACUCCUCCGCCGGCUUCCCGUCCUUCGCCCAGGCGCGGGACAUGUUCGCCCUGAAAGAAUUUCACCUCGCUAACAAGGAGAAGAUCUCUAACUCCACUGCCCUCCUCGUCGGGACCUCCUCGUCUUCCGGCUGUACGGGCGGGUGUCGCUCGGCGUCUGGUUCUGUCCAGACUGGCGGCAGCGGCAGCAGCAGUAGCGGCGGCCGCGGCGCCGACAGUAGCGGCAAGAAGAAGUAGCCGAAGAAGGGCGGCGGCGGUUUCCAGGCAUCCCAUGGCGGCGGCACCUCUCACGACGGUGGGUCCCCACGGCCCACCGGCCUGUGAUUCUGUUUCAGUCCCGGAGCCGGCCCCUACGGCGCCACGGGUUUCCCGCGGGCUGGCGGCGGUGGGGGCUGGCGCGCCGGCGCCCCUGGUCUCCUCGGCCCCCCUCUGCAGGCUCACUCCGCCUUCUCUACAAUGAGGAAGAACACCCACCAGAUCGUUGAUUAGAGAGAGAGCUCAGGAGUGUCGCACAGGAAAGUUUUCUAUGAACUCAAAGCUUAUGUUUCCAUUUCUCCAAACUUACAGUUUUACUCCUCGUUCCUCCGAGAAUGUUCUUACCCGUUCCUUUGUUCCAAAUGCACGGUACUAUCAGUAAAAUGGAGGAACAAGGUUUCUACGAAAUUUGUAUAGAAAACCUAUGUUCCAAAGGUACUCUAAGGCCUUGUUUGAUAAAAUAGGCGGAUUGAAAGAGAAUAAAAGGGAUUGAGUCUCAAAUGAACUAAUUUUCUCUCCAAAUAAACUUCCCAUUCCAUUUAAUCCACUAAGUAAAAAACAAGCCUAAAUUGUUUGAGCCCACGACGCUGCUUGGAAACGCGGUAUGUCCAUGAAUCUUCAUCGUCAGCGUGUCCAGGACACCACCGACACCUCUAGUUUGCACUUGCACCGCACAAUCAAGGCUACCUGCUGCCAGUGCUAUGAGAUCCACAUGCAAAAUGUUAUCGAGGCAUGCAUGCAAGUCUUUGAACCGCACAUGCAUCCUUUUUUUAGAACUGUGUAGCUCUGUGAUGAGGAAGAAGACCCACCAGAUCGUUGAACGUGCAAAUCUUAUCGAGAUACAUGCAUGCAAUUCUUUGAACCGCACAUGCAACUGAACUCUGAGCUCUCUACGUACGUGUGGGCCACCUUAGGGCCUGCUCGUCAGGUCCCUGCGUUUCGGUGACAGGCGGUCCAGCGAUGCAACACAUGUUGAUUGUUGACUUGUUCAGCAUGCAUUCACUGAAUGCAGACGAUGCUGGGAUAUUUCUCUACGUCUCCUUGCUGGCAGCCAGCAAUCUUUAGUUGUUAGGUGAUGGGCUGGAGUGCCAAAAUGUAUGCUUCCUUUCGGGUUGACCAAUGACUUCUGUCGAAGCUAGUCAUCCGGCGUCAAUUUCUUCAGUCCGGUGAAAGUUACUUUAUACCUACGGCUCACACGAUAUCUAGGUGUGUUUUGUUGUAUAUACUACGAUCUUAUUUGGAUCCCACCAACUAAAGCUCUCUCGCUGGAUUGCAGGUUCUAGCUAAACUUUAGCUAAGAAUCUAAAUAGAUUUUGAUUCUAAACUAAAUUUUAGCUAGCUAAACUUUAGUUGGUGGGAUCCAAAUAUAACCUAUAUACCAUUUGAUUCGUAUGGAAUGCUUCAAGUUAAAUGAUGAUCUAUAUAUUUAUUUAGUUGAGUGAACAAUAUAUACCAACUUAUUCACGAUGAAAUCCAUCCCAUUUUAUGUAGUUUUCUAUUGAGAGUGAUAAACCAUAUGAAUGAAAAAAUUGAUUGAACCAUACUAUAUAGUAUUAUUUAUACAUGAACUAUUUGGUAUGUGCAACAACCAAAUACAUCAGUAUUAAACGGUUUAAACUAGAUAGUAUUUGGUUAGGUGAACAUACAAACUUAUCCAUACUCACUUGAUAUAAUUUUCUUACUGACAAUAGAAACUAAAUGGACCAUACUUACAUAAUAUUCCAUACAUUCACGAUUGGAAAAAGUUCAUUUUUAACCAUAAAACUAUCACCUGAGUUAGAUUUUGACCAUCCAAUCCUAAAAUCAGAAAUCUUCGACCACUCAAUUAUCAAAAUCGUUUACAAUUGACUAUCUACCUGUUUUGAUGGGUGGUUUUGCUUAUGUAGCUAACACGUGUGGAAGUGGGGCCUGUGAGAUGGAUGAACAUGUGAUGCCCUUUGGGGCUCACGGUUCCGUGUUUAUAUGGCCGGGAAUAGCCCCCGGCGUGGCUUGUACAAGGAGCUACUUGAUGUACAAGAUACAGAAAAUAGGAAACAACAAUUCUACGCUAGCUUGCCUAAACUAGUUGAUUACAAGAUCAAUUACAUGAUUACAGGAACCGUGAUAUGGUAGGGAACCUUGACAUAUUCCAACACCCCCCUGUUAACCACAACUGUCAGUCAAAUUGAGAUUAUGUCGAAACAUCAGUAAUCGCUGGACAAGUAGGGCCUUUGUAAGCCAUCAGCUACCUGAUCUUCAGAAGAAAUAAAUCUUACUUCCAGCAGUUUGUGUGCUACUUGUUCUCUCACAAAAUGAUAAUCGAUCUCAACAUGUUUGGUGCAUGCAUGAAACACUGGGUUCUCAUAUAAAUACUUUGCUCCUAUGUUAUCACACUAAAGCCUUGCUGCUCAAGGAUGAGGAAUUUUCAGUUCAUCUAAUAGUUUCUGUACACACAUAAGGUCUGCAGUGGUAUUAGCAAGUGCUUUGUACUAUGCCUCUGUGCUAGAUCUAGAAACAGUUGCUUGUUUUCUAGCACUCCAAGAGAUUAAAUUGGGACCUAAAAAGAUUGCAAAGCCCCCUGUUGAUUUUUUAUCAUCUAGGCAUCUUGCUAAUCGCAUCCUGCCCAGUCUGCAUCUGCAAAUGCACUGAGUAACAUGGAUGCUGAUUUCCUAAUUUCUAGUCCAACCUUUAGUGUCCCUCUUACAUACCUCAAAAUUCUCAUUACAGCAGCCAAAUGAGUAGUAGUGGGACAGUGUGAAAAUCAGCACAACUUGUUAACCGAAAAGGAUAUGUCAGGAUGGGUCAGGGUGAGGUAUUCUAGAGCUCCCACUAUGCUUCUAUAGCGUGUGGAAUCUUUUGUUCCUAGAGCUUCACCCUCUGAUCUAGGCAACUUCUCGGUUGGGGCAAGAGGAGUGUUCAUAGGUUUGCUUGACAUCAUGUUGGUACGCUGAAGUAUUUCAGUUGCAUAUCUUUCUUGACUAAAGUAAAAGAUCAAUUUUAGACUUUUGUACUUGUAUGCCAAGGAAGCACUGGGAGGCGUGCCCCUGCUAGGUGCACCAAGAACACCUCCAGGGAGCAUGAAAUGAUGCUGAAUUUCUUCCAAAUUUUCACCAGUGUCAAGCAAAAUAUGAUCUGCAGCUGCAUCCAUAGACUCGGUAAUAGGAUUAAGAGAGUUAGCAGAUGGCACAUAAGUAUUGUCAUCCCCAUCAGGUAAGUUUCUUAAGGUGUUUGGAAGAAGAAGAAUUUUAGAAGGCAAACAAGCACCGGCAUUGGGAUGAAGUUUGGAGAAGGGAUAAAUUGUUUCAUCAAAAACAACAUCCCGUGAGAUGUAAACUCUUCCUGUAGCAGCAUUUAAACACUUGAACCCCUUGUGCAUUGUACUAUACCCAAGAAAAACACAUUGUUUGGAAUGGAAUUGAAGUUUUCGAGUAUUAUAUGGUCGUAAGUUGGGCCAACAAGCGCAUCCAAAAAUGUGAAGGAUAACAUAAUUUGGGGUUUGAUGAAACAAACUCUCAAAAGGAUUUUGAUGCUGAAUGAUUUUGCUAGGGAGUCGGUUUAUAAGAUAUGUGGCUGUUAUAAAUGCUUCAUCCCAAAAUUUUAAUGGGAUAGAGGCUUGAGCAAGAAGUGAGAGCCCAACUUCAACUAUGUGACGAUGUUUACAUUCAACAGAACCAUUUUGUUGAUAUGCAUGUGGGCAGGAAACAUGAUGAGAGAUGCCAAUGUGCUGAAAGAAAUAAUUCAGUUUUUGAUAUUCACCUUCCCAAUCCAUUUGAAUAGCUAGGAUUUUUCAAUCAAAGAGCCUUUCAACAAGGUUCUAGAAAUCGUGAAAGCAACGAAAAACCUCAGAUCUGUGAUGCAAGAGAUAAAUCCACGUGAAAUAUGGAAAAAUUGAACCAGUUUAGAGCACUGGUACUGAAGUCGUCAAUGAAGCUCACAUAAAAACUAUGUUUCCCAACAGAGGUUGGUGCCGGUGCCCACACAUCAGAAAAAAUAAGUUCAAGGGGAUUGUUAGACACACUUGAAGAAUGUGGAUAAGGCAAUUGAUGGCUCUUGCCUUGUUGACAUGCAUCACAAAUAACACCAUUGUUUGACUCAGAAACAAAAGGAAGUUUAUUUUUAUUACGAAUCUACUGAACAAUUGAAGAAAAGGGGUGGCCAAAAUGAUUGUGCCACAAUGAAGACGACAACUUGACGGAGGCAAGCAACCUUUUAUUUGGGGUAGACUUCAAGUGGUAGAGGCCUCCUUCACGUCUACCUUGCAGAAGAACCCUUCUCGUUCCUCGGUCCUUGAUGAAAAAAUAAUGCGGAUGAAAUUCAAAGAAAGCAUCAUUAUCUGAAACAAGUUUAUGAACAGAGGCUAAACUUUUGUUGGCCUGAGGGACAUACAGGACAUUGUUUAAGAUGAGAUCAUGAUUGGGGGUAUGAACAAUACUAUGACCAAUCUGUUUAAUCUCCGUACCUGCGCCACUAGCAGUGUGGACUUGAUCACCUCUCUGGUACCUGUCCCUCAUGGUGAGCUUCUCAAGAUCGCCGGUGACAUGAUCCAUCGCGCCGGUGUUGAUGUACCAGUUGGUGUCGAUGUUGUAGGCCGAGGAGGUUGUAGAGGAAGUAGACUUCUUAGGGUCACCUUGGAAGGAAGCAUCAAAGAGCUUGUAGCAACGGAUGGCAGUAUGCCCCUCCUUGCCACACAGCUGACAGGUGGGCCCAUCCAUGUUGGAUCCCUAAUUGAAACCCUGUCGCCUAGUACCACCACCGCGUCCUCCACGGGCAGUGAGGUUCGCCGAGGAGUUGGAGCCGCCACCUUGCAGCAAAUCUAAAUGAUGCUCAAAACCAACAAGCUGGGUGUAAAGUUCACCUAGGGUUAGGGGCUCAGUCCGUGCGGUGAUGGUGGAGACAACCUGGUUGAAGUCGAGAUCCAACCUGGCCCGGAUGUACGAGGAGAGCUCCUCGUCAUCCAGCUACUUCCCGGCAGACGCCAUUUCAUCGGCCAGGGUCUUCAUACGACCAAAGUAUUCAGCCAUGGUGCUGCUCCCUUUUUGCGUCGUUGCAAGCGCCAUGCGCGUGUUGAUCACACGCGCGCAUGUUUGGAAUGCAUACAUGAAAGGAUCGUGUGAUGCCUAGAGGGGGGUGAAUAGGCUCGAUCUUUAAAACUUGAAAAUUCUUCGCAGCGCUGUUAAAUGGGUCGGAACUUCCGACGCUGUGCCGGCACUUCCGACAGGGUCGGAAGUUCCGGUAUAACUACUCUACGAAAUUCAAAAACUAAUAGGUUUCAGCAAAAUCUAUUUGAAUCAAAACUUCAGCAAUGAUAUAUAGAAACUACUGCAGGUGAUCUUUACAAGAGAAACUUCACCAAAAAGUAGAUCGGCACAAAUCAAGCUCUAAGUCAACAAGAACUUGAAGAACACAAUAAGCACGCGAGACAAAGGAUUUGUUUACUGAAGUUCACUCCCACAAAGGGAGCUAUGUCUCUGUUGAGGAGCUCACAAAGAGCCGGGUCCUCAUUAACCUUUUACCUCUCUCAAUCAACCACAAAGGAAGAUUGAGUCACUUACUAUGAAUCCUCCAAGAGGAUGGGCAAUACAAACUUCUCGGGUGCACCACAAUGAGAGUGUGCUCAAACGGGCAACACCGAACCGUCUAGAAGCAAGCUUCAAGAGUAACAAACACGAAUCAAAGGCUGAAGAUGCUUCAAGUGCUCUUGAAAUGAACUUGGUUGACCUCUCACUCAAAGAUUGAGUCACACACCUCAAAUCCUUCUUUCACCCAAGCCCUACCUCAAAACUCUCAAAGAUUUAGCUCAAGGAGGGAGUGGGGAGGAGUAUUGAAUGCUCAAGGGGGUGUUUGUCUCGUGGUUGGUCACCAACAAAUAAAGUGGGGGCUGAGGGGGUAUAAAUACCCGAGCCUCAAAAACUAGCCGUUGCAGUUCUAUUAUGUGCUUGUCAGAACUUCUGACACAGUUCAAAUAAAACGGUUGGGAACCCCCUGCUGAAAGUUACUGGAAAUUUUCGGUGCCUAUUAUCGAAACUUCCGACAUAGGGUCAGAACUUCCAAUACUAUUCAAUUAAAUCUGCUGAGCACCCCUAGUCGGAAGUUUUCAGCAGGUGUUGGAACUUCCGACCCCAUAUCGGAACUUCCAACACUCACAGAAACUGUGAGAAACUAAACGUGCAAGUGUGUGAGUGGUGUCUCUCAUAGGUGGUUAGCAUCUCAAAUAAGCACUUUGAUAUCUUCAAGCUAUCCAUUCGUGUCCCCCUUUAUAGUACGAUGUUCCUAUACUCAAAUUCAAAAAUAGAAAUUAUAAAAAUCUUCCUUUAUGCUUCAACACCGUCCUUCAAACAAAUUUGGGGUCCUUUCUUGCAUUUUUUUCAUUUCUUAACAUUUGAACCUGUCAAUUUCUCGAUUCCUUAAUUAUGCAUGUCAUCAACACCAAAACCUACUCAGGGGGCCAAAUGCACUUUCAAUACAUGGCGUCAAUUGCAUCCCAGGCUUCAGCAACCGUCAACACCGCUGCCACCUGCAUGAGGAUGUCAUGCGAGAUGGAGGCGAAGAGGAAGUUCAGGACCUGUUGGUCCUUGAUGACCCAGAGAUCAUACUUUGGGUUUGGCUCCUGCUCGGUUGGCUUGGCAGGAUCCUAGCAAAGGUCUUGGGUGGCGGCAGGACCUUGGAGUACACCUGCGCCUUCCACAUCGCAUGGUUGUUCCUCGCCAGCCGCUCGAUGACCGGACAGCCGAUCAAAGAAGCGACAACAGACGAUCUGGAGGAUCUUGAGUUGGCCAUGGGAAAGCUCGGUAAAGAACCGGGCUCUGAUUACCAUGUGAGUUGGAUGAAAAUGUGAUGCCCUUUGGGGCCACGGUUCCAUGUUUAUAUGGUCGGGAACAACCCCCGGUGUGGCUUGUACAAGGAGCUACUUGAUGUACAAGAUACAGAAACAAGAAAACAACAAUCCUACACUAGCCUGCCUAAACUAGCUGAUUACAUGAUCAAUUAAAUGAUUACAGGAACCGUGAUAUGGUAGGGAACAUUGACAUAUUCCAACAGGGUCCACAUGUCAGUAUUAUCUUCUUCGUCCCUCCCUCUCUGUCCCUCAUCUCUCCCUUUCUCGCUCAUGGAUUUAUUUGUUUCCUCACCAUCCCAUCUCUCUUCCCUCUUUGCUAACCGAGUGGAAGUGGAACCCUAGGCACUGGGAAGGAGCGGGUGUGGUGGAGUAGCUCGACAGGUAGACAGGGCGCGAACCCAUAACAAUGGUGGGUGAGAUUGCCUUAAUAGCUGGGGCUGGGAUGGUCACCAAGGCACCCGGCCUAGCAUAGCGGCGGCAUGGCCCAAGUGGCAAGGCAAGCUCCGUGGGUUCAGCCCCGAUGCGGUGGUGCCUUCAUACGGCUCGUGCGUGGUGUAUAUGCUCAGCCGGGGCAGGGGCAACCUGCCUAUGCACAGUUGCGUAACCAGCGGCGGAGGAGAUUCUAGGGUGGAGGCGAAGGAUGGCGGUGCUUCGAGCAGAAGGCCGUGAAGUGCAGCACGAUACCCAUCGUAGCCAAGCUCAGAGGACCUGGUGAUGCCCCGCAUGGCAGCGCAUGAAGGGUUUGGCGGGAGGUGGUGGGCCAGCGAGUGGGCAUGCCAUAUCAUGCAGGAGAGAGAGGAGGGGGAGAGCCAUGGAGGCUAAGAAGACAAUGCGGACAAUGUAGGCUCAACUGCCACGUGGUGCCAUGGUGUCGGCCGCGUCAGCAAAAUCACCCACCAAAAUAGUUAGAUGAUCAAUUGUGAACGGUAUUGAUAGUUGGGUGGUUGAAAAUUUUUGGUUUUGGAGUUAGAUGGUUAAAAUCAAACUCAGACGAUAAUAGAAUUGUUAAAAAUGAAUUUUUACGUACACGAUUUGGUACAUUCAACCAAACACAAUAGUCCUUGUGCAAGUGUCCAUCAAAGCCAUCUAAAGUGAACCUAGGCUUCUUGUCCUUGCCUAUAUAUAAACUAAAUGUGCUCGAAGUUUCCAACUAAGCAAUCCACCAAACGCAAGAUUUACGCACCAUCGUCCACGCUUACGUCAUCUCACCUAACACAAACCAUGGUCACCAUCAUAGCACGCCGGAGCAAGCCCCACCUAGUGGCACCAGCAUGUCCGACGCCAUGCGAGACGAAGACCCUCUCCGACAUGGACGACCACCCCGGCAACCGGGCUUAUGUUCCCUUGGUCGAGUUCUUCGUCCGCGACGACGACGGCCUCGGCCCAGAGGACCCGGCGGCGGCCAUCGAGGCGGCGCUGGGCGAGGCUCUGGUGUAUUACUACCCCGUCGCUGGCCGUAUGCAGGAGACAGCCGGGGGCAAGCUGGCGGUGAGCUGCAACGGAGAAGGGGUGGCGUUCGUGGAGGCCGACGCCGCCGUGCGGCUGGAGGAGCUCGGUACGCCGCUGCUGCCACCGUACCCGUGCGUCGAGGAGCUGCUCUGCGACGCCGGCGACGCUCACGUCGUCGUCGGCAAGCCAAUCGUCUUCAUGCAGGUAGGUAACAGAUAAUCGUCGGCGUCCCCGGCCGGCAAGCCAAUCGUACUAACCCCCGCCACAACUUCUACUUGAUCGUUUGCAUGAAGGUGACAAGGUUCCAAUGUGGAGGAUUCGCGAUUGGUCUUCGGAUCAACCACUGCAUCGCAGACGGCUUCGGCAUGAUCCAGUUCCUCAGAGCCGUAGCCGACGUGGCACGCGGCGAGGCCGCUCCGGCGGUGCUGCCCGUGUGGGAACGGCACCUGCUAAUGGCCCGCGCGCCGCCGAGCACAGGCUACGUGCAUCGGAAGCUGAUGUUGCUUCUCAAGGACCCUCCUGCCGCCGGCGCCGGCGCAACGCCGCCGGCGGCGAGCGUGGUGUGCCGGCACUUCCUCUUCGGCCCGGCGGAGAUCUCCGCGCUGCGAGGCCGCGUCGCGGGGUACGACGACCUCGGGGCGUCGUGCACGAGGUUCGAGCUGCUGACAGCGGCGCUCUGGCGGUGCCGGGUGGCGGCGUGGGGCCUGGCCGACGACCAGCGCGCCGUCCUCGUCUUCGCCGUGAAUGUGCGCCGGAGGUGGGUGCGGAUCCCGCCGGGUUACUACGGCAACGCGCUCGUGUUCCACGUCGUGGAGGCCGACGCCGGCGAGCUGCGCGGGAGGCCGCUGGGCCACGCGGUGGUGCUCGUGCGCGAGGCCAAGGCGGACACGAGCGAGGAGCACGUGAGGUCCACCGCCGAUUUCAUGGCGUCGAUGCGCGAGAUGCCCCCGGCGACGUACCACGAGGAAACCUACAUGGUGUCGGACUGGACGCGCCUCGGCGAGGACGAGGUGGACUUCGGGUGGGCAAGGCGGGUCGGCGGCGGCGUCGCGAUGCCGCCGUCACCGUUGGUGAGCUUCAACGCAAAGUGCGUGAAUUCGGAUGGCGACGAGUCGGUGAUUGUGACGAUGGCGUUGCCGGAGGCAGUGAUGGAGAGGUUCGAGAAGGAGAUUGAUAAGAUUUGGUCAAAGAAUUAAAGAUGUCGAUCGAAUGUAUCCUUUGGGUUCUACGUACCAUGUUGUUGUACUUUAUAGGAUGGUGAAAUGCAUGUGUUCUUACAAUAAAUGGCAAACUGCCUUGAACACUUCUAGUUGGGAUGAAUUGUUUAGUUUGCAGGCUUCACUCAUCACUCUAUUUUCUAAGUUUUUAGGACAUUAGUGAAUAGGCGGGAUGGAACGGUGACUUGCUUCGACUGGUGCACGAAUGUUGGCUCUUUUACUCUGUUUGCAGAUCAGUACCUUCUGCUGUUCAUUUGCUGAUGUCUUUUGAGCGAGUGUUUGAGCCGAAUGCACUUGUGCUGGCAGAUGUUUGUUUUGUUUGGUAAUCUCGUUUUGUGCAAGCUCAAUUCCAAACAGUUGGUACACUGGAUUUUCCUUGCUUUUAUCGACUGGUAUACUGAGUUCGUUCUGGCUUUCGAUCUUGGAGAUCGUGCUUGUCUUGUUUACAUGUGUGGUAUCAUUGUUUAGGGCGGUAUUUUGUUUCCAUGAUUUCACUGGUCCCUAAUUCUUGUUGGUAGAUUGCUCUGCACUUGCUUCUCUCUUCCUUUUGCUAGAGUCAAUGGAGCAGUAAGAAAUUCCAUGUUUUGGGCCAUGCCCUGUAGCCGGCUACCUGCUGCUGUACCCAGCAGCAGUGCCAUGAGUAGAAGGGCAGUAUGCCCUGUCACUUUGUAAUACUAAGAGUAGGUAGAUAGUUGGUAGAAUCACUCAUGUAUUUGUGUAAUCUACAUUGACCUUUGGUUCUAUAAAGUAGGAAAAGCAGCUGCAGCUCUAAUCAGUUCAGCAGCAAAGUGUUUGAGUGCCCUGUUCUCUCCUAUCUCCUCCUACCUCCAGCUCAAAGUGUGUGUGCGUGUGGGUGUGAGUUCCAGGGAGCUCACCUUGGCCAUUGCCAACAAUUCUGGAGUCUGAGUAAAAUGCAGAGAGGUUGCUUUAUAGUUUAUUUGAUGAGAAAGCGAUUUUGGUGCCUGAAGAGUUCUUGAUUUCCAUUGCCUGAGAGUUUAGCUCACAGGGACAGGAGUGCAGCAACUUGUAACAUGUAUAGAAAGACCAGGAACUUGUACAUGUAUAGAAACAGACCACCAACUGUAUUAUCUUACACAGAAAAAAUCGCCGUCGCUCAUAUUGAAAUGAAUGUAGAUGCGAAGCUCAGCGGAUGACCUGCUACUGGCAUUGCAAAAUGGUCAUCAUUCCAUUCCAGCAGAUUUUAGAGUCUUCAAUCAAAAAGGUUGUAUAUGCAGAGAUGAGAAACAGAGGUGUUCUUGUUUCAUACAGUGUGUUGUGUACAUAUGUAAUAGUUUGGAGGCAUGGAGUAAGUGAAUUUAUAGCCCUCCCUCAGAGAAGGAACACAGGAACUCAAGGCUACGAGCAGCUGAUGACAGACAGGAAGAUCGAGGAAGCCCCCUUAUGCCUUCCACCACGGGUCCUCGCCGGUCCUGAAGUCGGUCUCCACCCACGGGACGAAGAGGACCUUGCCGUCGUCGACGUCGGCGUGCACCAGGGCCAGCGACUGUUGUUGUUCCGAUCAGAUGAGCAAUUCAACCAAGAUCAGAUUCAGUCAAUUGAUGAAGGCAGAUCAUAUCAUUCAGCUAGAAUCAAGGAAGCAAAAUGAAUGAAAUGCAUUGCUCACCAGGGGCGCCGGGCCACGGACGACCCUGCCCUGGUUGUUGUACUGCGAGCCGUGGCAGGGGCAGAUGAACUUGUUCUCGGCGCUGUUCCACGGCACGACGCACCCCAGGUGGGUGCAGACGGCGUUGAUGCCGUAGGUGGCCAGCGUCUUGUCCUGCUCCACCACCAGGU
rnacentral:lncRNA from 1 species